rnacentral:lncRNA from 1 species
AGAUCCGGUGGUAUCGUUGGGACAAGAAGAAGCUUCUCCUUCCGACGCAUGGUCAGCCCAAACACGUCGGCCAUGUCUAUGUCCUCCUCACGGAUCCCACGGGGGAGCUCCCAAUUGAAGCAGUAGACAAGGUUGGCGAGCAUCAUCUCCACGGAGGCCAUCCCGAAACCCAACCCGGGGCAGAUCCUCCGCCCGGCUCCGAACGGCAGGAACUGGAAAUCCCUCCCCUUGAAGUCGGUCGUUGCCGCCGCGCUGUCGUGGUCGACCAUGAACCUCUCCGGCGAGAACUCCUCUGCGUCCUCCCCCCAUGACCGUGCAUCUCUCCCAAGUGCCCAUGCAUUGACAAGAACGCGCGUCCCGGCCGGGACAGCGUAGCCGUUGACGUCAUCGCAGCUGGACAUGGAGAUGCGCGGCAGGAGGAGCGGCACGGGCGGAUGCAGCCGAAGCGUCUCCUUCACGACGGCCUUCAGGUAGGCCAUGCCGCUCAAGUCUUCCUCCUUGACCGUCUGUUGGCCCUUGGGCGUCUUGCUCCUUAUCUCGGCUUGGAGCUUGGCCAUGACGCUGGGUUUCCGCAUCAGCUCCGCCAUCGCAAACUCCAUGACGAUGUAUGACGUGUCUGUGCCCGCUGCAAACAUGUCCUAUAUAAUUGAAAAAAAUAAAAAUAAUUACACAUGCAAAUAAUAUAAGCAUCAUGGAAUUAAUUAAUAUUGAGUAAAUGGAUUAAUUACGAUCAAGACGGCCUUGAUGUUGUCUCUGGUGAGAUUGUACUCCUGCUGAAGAGAGAGAAGAACGUCUACAAAGUCUCUCUCCUGAUCUUCUUGUUGCUCGUCGUGGUUUCUAUCAUGUUGUUUCCGCGACGAACAAGAUUUGGCUGCGUGGUCAUUUAUGAUCUUGUCGAGCAGCUCGUGCCACCUCUUCUUCAGCGCGAUCGUCCUGGCCAGCACGAGCCGCCGGAGCAGGCGCACCUUGGCCAGCCCCGGGAAGUAGUCCUCCAGGUUGAACCCCGCGAACACGGCCGCGUUCCCGGCGAUGAGCUCCCGGAACAGCUCGUUCCGGCCCUCCUCCCGGAAGAACUUGCCGGACACGGCGCAGCACACGACGUCGUUGGCGUAGGCGCCCAGCAUCUCGCUCAGGUCGACGGCGCCGCCUUGGGCGCCGCAGGCCGCGGUCCGGACCUUGGCGAGCACCAGGGCCACUUCCUCGUCCCGGGCGCCGGCCAGGGCGCGCACCUUGCUGGCGCUAAGCAGGUGCGUGGUGACGAGCCUCCUGGCCUGGCGCCAGUACUCGCCGUAGGGCGCGAGCGCGACGUCGGAGACGCCGUUGAAGAGCACGUCGGCGACCGCGGAAGGCGGGCGCGAGGCGAAGGCGUGGUCGUGCGCACGCAGGACGGCCUCGGCGGCCCGCGGGGAGGAGACCACGAGGUUGCGGGCCUGGCCCAGGUCCAGGAGAAGGAGCCCGUCGGGGCCCGCGUGCUUCCGUGAGAGCUCGGCCAGGGAGACGUGAGGGGUUUCCGGGUUAACCAGGUGCAGGUGGCCGAUGAUCGGGAACCUGCUUGGUGGCGAAGGAGGGAGCCGGCGGCGGCCUUGGUCGAGCUGCUGCUUGUUAUUGUAGUAUCGUAGCAGCAGGAGGAAAAGGGAGCAGAGGAACAGAGUGAGAAGCCCCUGUGGAGAGAAGAUGAUGAGUAGUGGCUGCUGCUGAGGCUGAGCCAUGUCGACCUGCAUUAUUCGAUCCGUGUACGUGUUAAUUUGCUCCUCGGCUUUGCUCACUCAUUUAUACACAUCAGGAAAGAGUAGUAUUCCAAGGGAACUGUAAUAAUUGGUUAGAUUUUUUCCGCGCAUGAUAUUAUAUUGUAAAUGAGUGGAAUUUUUUACCAGAUAACUAGUCGUCUUUGAUUUCAAGUGGUGACUUGGUGAGUGCGCGCGGCUCAGAUUGCACGGACUUGGUGAGUGCGCGCGGCUCAGAUUGACUUGGUGAGUAGCAAUCGGUUAUCUAUCGGUAACCUAGGGACGAUCAUCAUCAUAUCGAUUCGAAAUUCCAGAAGCGCAGAGCCAUAGACCAUACGUCUCUUAUCAUGGCGGCAGGCUGCAACAAGCCAAAUCAGUCGAUCCGCACAAUUCCACGUUCAUGCACGCACACAUAUGGAAAUCUUGGGUGAAUAACGAGAGACGAGAGGUUACGUUGAGAAUGCUGAUUCCUCCUUUCUUGGCUGGCUAGCUAGCUAGCUUAUUCUCGUGCACGUCCACGUCUUAGUAGGCUACCUUUUCACCCAUCGUUGCACGUAUGUUGAAGAAACAUAGCCAAAGUGUGAUUGAUCGAUAUGGUGGUCCAAUUUUUUUUCUAGAAUAAUAUUUUGGUCCAAUUGGUAAUUUGUCUGGCAUGCAAAUUUCUUCUUUUACGGCCAAUGCAAUGGAAGAAAUUCCAGUGACAUAUCUAUAUAGAAGGAGAUAAGACAGAGACGGAUGCAUGGAUAGACAUGGAUUUACAAUUUAUAUAUAUACAACCAUGCGUCCAUGCGGUUUGUAACUUAAUUUCUGCUGCUGUCUAGCUACCAAGUCGAGUUCAAGAUGAAUUUACACGUGCAAGCUACGUAUGAACGGCGAUAUACCACCAUAUUACUAUUGUUGAUCUUCUUCUUCUAGCUCCCAGCUAGCCGAGCAUGCAUGCAUGCACAAGUUGCGAUGAUCAUAUUUCUGCAUGCCGCAUGUAUGGGCCUUAAAGGUGUUUGGGCUCAUUUAAAGUUCAAACUGGGCCUCUAACCUGAUAGGGAAACCGCUGGGCCUUACUGUCCUCGCUGGUUUCCUUGGGCAUUCAUCCCCUCUCUUCUCGAAGGGCCGAAGGCACUGUCGUUGUCACGUCAAGCAAAGCAGCCCAAAUGCCUUUAACGCCCAUACGAUGCUUCCGACCACGGCGGCGCCGGCGGCCGGCCCCUGCUCCUGGCGAGCCACACGCUGCCCUGUUCCUGGCUCUAGGCUACAUGCGGCUGCCCGAGCUGUUGGCCUGUGGCGCGUAUCGGCGUAUGCCGCCUCCGGUCGGAAUUACUGAUCGCAAGUUGUAUUAAAUCCGCGACAAGUAAUUCUGACAAACUUUGCGACAAGUAAUUUCGUCCGAACAAAAUAAUAUUACUCUUACAUAUGUGAUCUAUGUACUUUUUCCUGUAGAGCGUAUAAUUUUUAUUGAGUGUCAACUUUCUAAGGUUGCACCAACUUUUUUGACAUCUAUAAACUUUAUAAAAUUGAAACCCACUAAGUGCAGUUAAUUUAGCAAGCUGCACAUGUAGCCAAUCCACAUAGCAACAUCUUCUAUACCUAAAUAGGGAUCCCCACUUGAAGCUAAGUCACCUCCUAUCACCCGUUCCGUUACGGCGUCACAGGUGUUUCGCCUGCGCCAACUUCGGAGCCCACCCUCGACCGAUGUGGCCUAUGCAACAGGGGAAUGCUUGAUGCAACCAAUUAUCAAAAUGGAAACCGCCCCACUGAUUAAGGAAUUGAAACCGUGACACUAAUCAAGGAAUAAACUUCCGGCAUUUCCCUUCCUCUUGCCUCUAUCUUUUCCAAUUCCCACUCAAUAAUUUCCCACGAUCCGUGCAUACAGAUCAAGUGCUGUAUGCGAAAGCCACGGUGGGUCUCCAUGGAAAUGCCCAUGUUAAUGGACUUGUGUUUUUCGAUAGAAGAGAUGUGCUGGCGAGUUCGUCGUCCAACAAGGAGACAGGGGCACAAUUUACCCAGGUUCGGAGCCCUCGUGGAGGUAAUACCCCUACUCCUACUUGUCUGAGCUUGUAUUGAAACGAGAUCACAAGAUCUCCUGAAAGCUAUGGUGCACAGAUUGGAUAUGGCGUGGUGUGUCUGAGAUUGAACGUGAUCCCUCCCCGCUGCCCCUCCUAGUCUUUUAUAUAAGGGGCUAGGUCUCGGGGGCAGAGUCCGAGUAGGUUACAAGUGGUGUUUAAACCUGUUGUAGUAAAAUAAAACCCCUAUAUUGGCCGGGCCGUAAAUUCUACGUGGCGACGACUGGGUCAACAUUUCCCAAGCACGAGUCAAGACGCCCACGUGGCAUGAUCAAUCCUACGUGGCAAAGGAAAACAAGUCAACAAGUCAAGCCUCUCAUGCCAUGGUUAAAGGGUCAAAUGAGAUAGAGAAGGGGGCAAGAAAGGUGUGAGGAGGGGGCCCUUAGUCCAUGAUGGAUCAUGGACCAAGCCCCACUUUUCCCACAUGGUGCAUACAAAAGCUAUGAACCAAGAAGCUACUUUUACCAUUUUGCCUCCACUUUUCUCUCUCCGCCAAGGGUAGCCAUGGUCUUUUGUCAUGGACUCCUAGGCUAUAAAUACCCCCCCAUGGGGGUAUGUACCACUCACUCUCACUUGAAUAAACUCAAGGGGAGAGAGCUAGAGAGCCUCUUUGAGAGGAGAUCUAGUUUCGGGAUCUCGGGAAGCCUCGUUCGGCCCGAGCCCGAAGGAGAGGGAAUCGGGUUAGAGUCUUAAGGGUAUCUCGACCUCGCUACUUGGAAAGCUCGUUCGGCCCAAGUACGAGGAUGCCCCUUUCGACCUCUCGCUAAGUGAUUCGGGGAGUCUCGAUCGACCCGAACGCUUUGGCUAACGACCCUCUCGAAGCCUCUCCUAACAUAGGACUAAGUCGCACCCGCAGAAUCGACCGAACCUAUUAAAAAAAUAUUGACGUGUCAACUUGUCCAAGUGUACGGCGACCUUCGCUAUAAGGCCAGCGUACGCGCCCUACUUUUAUACUCGUACCUGUGCUACCGAGCUUUGGCACCUCUUACUCUAAUUGUUGUUGAGAACAACAACAAAACCCUAAGUCGAUUUCCUUAUAUGUUCUUGUCUUGUACCAUACGCCAAGGAUCUUGGGCUUCAUGGAUUGUAGUGAGCCAUCAUGUUUUCUUAUUUCCUUGAUUCCUUCAGUUGUGACCCAAUGUAUGUAGAUUAAAAUUUGAGUUGUACAUAUGCUUAGAACAGCAUUGAGUUUAUUUGAAAAUUUAAUAUGAUUGUUGUUAAUAAAAUUGAAUGUACCUUUUAGCAGCGAUCUAAAGUUCUCUCAGCAUGCUGAAUAUAUGUUGUAUAAAUUAUGUAUUGUUGUACCGUUAGCAGCGACCUUACAGUAAUUGCCAUGUACUCCUCCCGUUUCAUAUAUAAUUCUUGUCUCAAAUUUGCCUAAAAAUAAAUGCAUUUGUUUCUAAAAUACUUCUAGGUACAUGUAAUAUUUCGAUAAGAAUUAUGGGAUGGAGGAAGUACAUGUCUAGGGAUCGUUUGGACUAUGUUACUAAGCCAUAUAUCAAGGCGUAAUUUGUCAUUACUAAGCCAUAUAUCAAGGCUUAAUGUGUUUAGUUUCAUGUCAUCAAUAAGAUGAGCCACAAUACUUAUCUUAGACGCAGCCUGACAAGGUGAAUAUGGAUAAGCAGUUAUUAGACACCCAGAGGUUAUCAAGUCCUGCAUCUAGGUAAUGAAAAGAAAAUUUCUUCUAAGGGCAUAUAUUAAAGGACAACACUUUUUUGGCAUUUAGAUCAGUAUAUAUUUUUUCAUAUUUGGAUCGUGGCAUUCAUUCCUUGCACCUGUACCAAUGCUAAGGAAUUUGUUUCAAGCACAAAACAUUAUAUAGAAUACACUGAUGUUUCAAGUAUAUGAGUAUCUCUCUUCGUAAAAAAAAAGUAUAUAUCUUCAAUUUCGCAAGGUUUUUAUUUAGACCCAACAUAAUUCAUAAACAGCAACGCACAAGGUUUUUACCAAUACUCAAUGACUAGCAAUUUGCACAAAUAUCGAUCUGAAAUAUUCCCGCAGCAACACACUAUUCGCAGCAACACAUGGGGUUUCAUCUAGUUCUUUAUAUUUUUGUAGACUACAGCUAUAUUAGUAGAGCGGAGGUAGUAUCUCAGGCUUCAGCUAGGCGCGUCUUCUCCGGCAACGCAGGCGCACGGGCGCGGCCAAGAACUUAGAGGUGAGCUACCGAUAGCAAGCGUCACGCACGGGCAUGCAGUGUUGAUGCAUGAUCUCGUGGAGUCGUGGGGACCAGAAGGAGCUUCUCCUUCCGAUGCCUGCUCAGCCCGAACACCUCGGUCAGGUCGAUGUCCUCCUCCCGCAUCCCAUCGGGGAGCUCCCAGUCGAAGCAGUAGACGAGGUUGGCGAGCAUCAUCUCCACGGAGGCCACCCCGAAGUUCAUUCCGGGGCAAAUCCUCCGCCUGGCUCCAAACGGCAGGAACUGGAAAUCCCUCCUCUUGAAGUCGCCCGCCGCCGCACCACCGUCAUCAGCCAUGAACCUCUCCGGCGAGAACUCCUCCGCAUUCUUCCCCCACGACCGUGCGUCUCUCCCCAGCGCCCACGCGUUGACGACGACGUGUGUCCUAGCCGGGACAGCGUAGCCAUUGACAUCAUCGCAGCUGGACAUGGAGAUGCGAGGCAGGAGGAGCGGCACCGGCGGAUGCAGCCGGAGCGUCUCCUUCACGACGGCCUUCAGGUAGGCCAUGCCGCUCAGGUCGUCCUUCUUCACCGCCUGCUGGCCCUUGGGCGUCUUGCUCCUCACCUCGGCGUGGAGCUUGGCCAAUAGACGUGGCUUUCGCACCAUCUCCGCCAUGGCGUGAUGGGUUCGUCGUAUGAAAAACAAAAUUUUUCCUACGACAUGUGCGGAAGAAACCCAUAUCGCACCAGUGGCACCCGGAGUACCACCGCUACACGACGCGUGGGUCGCAUUGCUGAGUUCCCGGGAGGAUCUCGCAUCGGGCGGCAACUUGAAGGCUGCCCAGCAAGCUACCAGCCCAGAAGGGCUCGCGGGGCUUCAGGGAAUAUUCCCGCCUGGACACCUCCCGGGAAGGCACUUGCCGGGAAGGGGAGUUCCCGGGUGCAGGUUCCCGCCGUGAGGGCGGGGCCAAGCGAGCAGAGCAGCGAUGCCACGUGGGCGUGCGACAGGCGCCCAGUGUGCAGUCUCGCCAGGGCAAGGAGUGAAGCGCACGGCGCAUUUAAUGAGCCGACAUGAGGGGCGUUAUCCGUCUAGUCGGACGAACAAUGCCUGUCCAGUCCUAUUUUUUAGGUCUUAGACAUCUAGCCGCGGGGUUGGCACUCAUGCAUGCAUGCCAGCACACUGAGGAGGAGCUGCCCGAGCUCCUUGCUCGCCACUUGUAAACCAUGCACCGUGGCUCCUGUGGUAUGCCCUUGGCUAUAAAAGGAGGACCCUCGCCAAUGGUCAAAGGGUUCUACGAUCUCACAGUUCGACACUAGCCUUGACCAAAAGUAAUAAGGAGCACUUAGCCGAAAAGAGAGCACCCGGGGACCCUUCCCCGGGAACUUGUAAUUCCUCUGUUUCACAAUAAUACAAGGUCAGACAAGCAGGACGUAGGGUUUUACACCGCAAGGUGGCCCGAACCUGGGUAAAAAGUGUGUGCAUGUGCCCUUGGUAGCGUUCAUGGUGCAUUCCUACGCCUAGCAUUGGUCCCGUCGGCGAUUGCCGGAGCGAUCCCCGUAGCCCACUGCCGAACCUAAAAAGGGGGUGCCCGUGCAUCCCCGGUGUCGGAGCCCCGUGCAACGACAUCUGGCGCGCCAGGUAGGGGUCGCGUGAGGAGAGCUCGCCGGUGAUCGCCGGCGGCAGCGUCUGCAUAAACAUCGGCCUCGUUCUCGUCGACGACAGAGCCGGUCACCAUGCCCCCCAAGCGGGCUGGUGACUCGAGGAUCGACCCACGUGCGGCCCCAGCGGCGCACACGCGAUCGCAUGACAUGCCACGCGUGUCGCAGGAACAGGGUGAUCCUGAGCCUGCCCGAGUGCAGCCAUCACAGCUGCCGCCGCCGCCUCCCCGACCGUCGGCUGAUAACCGGUUGAGAGGGCCGACGGCUCCCAGCGCCAGAGCCAGCUGCGCGAGCGGUCACAACGCCGCCCGCGCCCUGAAGCAGGGAGGCCCGCAGGUCGACGAACCGCAGCAGCGGCAGCAGCCGCACGAGGAGCACGGAGCGUCGCGGGCGACGCCAACCAGCUUGCGUCCGACUUAGCCGGGGUUGUUCGGGGAUAGAGCGGAGGGCAACCGUUCGGGAAACCGGCAGCCCCCCGCGUAAACCCUGGCGGAGGCCAUCAUCGCCGCGCGAGUCAUGGUGCGCUACGAGCCGCCCCAGGGCACGCCGGCGCACGAGGCAUGGAGCGCCGAGUUGGACGCGCUCCUCGCGCUCGCCGCCCAACAUCCACGAGGCGAAUGCGGCCCGGCAGGCUCAGGCCGCGGGCAGAACCUGGGGCGCGGAGACGUGCUCCGCACCUCGCGGCAAUGGGAAAACCCUCCCCCGCAGGGAGGCCUGGGAGGCGGGGACCUGGAGGGGUCUUCGGACUCAUCACCCACCGUCGCGCGGGGUGACGCGCGCGUCAUCUUGAUUGCCCGCCAGCAGGAGGACCUGCGUCAGCGCCUGGAGCGCUGGCGCCGACGCGAGGUGGAGCGCCAACGCCCACAGGAGCAGGAGGAUGCUCCUAUGGGCCCCGAAGACGGCUGCACCGCGUUUACGCGCGAGUUGCAGCGGGUGACAUGGCCCCGCAAGUUUUGAGCGCCCCCGCUCGGUACGUAUGACGGGACCGUGAAUCCGAAGGAUUUCCUCCUGACCUACACGUUGGGGAUGCAUGCCAUCGGCGCCGACGACAAGGUCAGAGCCAACUGGUUCUGGAUGGUUCUGAAAGGAUCAGCGAGAACCUGACUUCUCAACCUGCCUGCUGGGUCCAUCGCCACUUGGGCGGACCUGCGCGAGCAGUUUGUGAGCGCGUUCCAGGGCGGCUACCAGCGCCCGGGAACCAUGGUGGAGCUACACACUGUAGUGCAGAAGCCGGGAGAGACGUUGCGGAACUUCGUCAACCGUUUCUCCAGUCUCUCCUACUCCAUCCCGGAGGCGGAGGCUGCUGCCAUCGUCAACACCUUCGCCAUCAACGUCCGCGACCCCAAGAUGCGCGAGAAUCUGAGCACGCAUCGGAUCCGGACAACGCAUGAUCUGUACUCCUUGGCGCACAAGUGUGCCAUGGCCGAGGAAGGGCGCUUAGCGUCCGAACUAGCAGCUAAAGCCGCCGCGAGCCCAGGAGAGGGCUCGCAGAAGAAGAGUUCCCGCAAGCGCAGCGGGAGGCAAGUCCUUGCCGUGGAGUCGGGGGCUGCCGCGAGGCCUGCGAAGAAGGCCUCGCCCGGUGGUGGGUCUGGAGGCAAGCAGGGUGACGUGCCCCACCACCGCAUCCACGCCAACUUCACGCACGAUGCGCAGGACUGCCGCAUCCUGCAGGGUAUCAAGCAGCGGCGCGAGCAGCGCCACGAGGAGCGCCGAGCAGCCGGCGCCUGCUUCAACUGCGGCGACAUCGGGCAUCUCUCCCGAGAUUGCCCGAACGACCCCAGAGCAGGGCCGAGGCCUGCCGGCGGUGGCGCCGGCAGGGAGGAAGCCCAGGGGGGAUGCGGCCAAGCCCGCGCUGGCAGGGAGCGCCCUCCCCGGGGACGAGACAGGGCUCGUGCUGAGGAGCAGCGCGAGUCCGACUGCACUGGCGGCGACGAGCCAGGCUUCCAGGAGCCUCGCGGCAUCGCCUGCAUCCAUGGGGGAGCUUAAGCUCUCCCAUCCCACGCCGCGGUGAAGCGCCUCACCCGGGACGUGUGCACGCUGUUGCCGGACGCGGAGCCGUAGCAGCCGCUGAGGUGGUCGCAUGUGCCGAUCACCUUCAGCGCCGACGAUCACCCGGCGCGACAGCUGAGUUCAGGGGUCAUACCCUUCGUGGUUUCACCAAUCAUCAGUAACAUGACGGUGACCAAGGUGCUGGUGGACAACGGAGCGGGGUUAAACCUCUUGUCCGCCAGGUUGGUGGAAAAACUCCAGUUGCCGGUGGAGCAGAUGAAACCCACUGACCCGUUCCGGGGAGUGAACCCCGGGAUCGUGCGCCCCCUGGGGCGCAUCACGCUGCCGGUGACCUUCGGGUCCCGGGAAGCGUUCCGGACCGAGCACGUGGUGUUCGACGUGGUGCACACCCCGUUGCCAUACAAUGGGAUCCUUGGUCGGCUAGCGAUGAUCAAGUUCAUGGCGGCAACGCACUGCGCCUACGGCGUGAUGAAGAUGCCGUCCGUGUUGGUGAGGUCGUCAGGGCCGCCGCCGCAGCCGACGCAGGUGACGAAGACGUUGCCGGAGACAGAGGCUCGCCGGGCGACGGCCCGACAACAAAGAAGGCCCGUGCUGCCCCGCAAGUGCUUGCCGAGGGAAGCACAGGCUCGAGCUCGUGCCCUGGCAAGGGCCAGAAGCUCCGGGAGGAGGCCUCCAAGGUGAAGAAGCUGCCCCUCCAAGCCGGCAACCAGGAGCGCACCGUCACCGUCGGUGCGAACCUUACUGCCGAAUAGGAAAGCGCCCUCAUCACUUUCCUCCGGGAGAACGUCGACGUGUUCGCUUGGGAGCAGUCGGACCUUCCCGGAGUCCCUAGGGAGGUGAUUGAGCAUCGACUCACGGUGCGCCCGGACGCCCGCCCCGUCAAGCAGAUGAUCCGCCGCCAAGCGCAGGAGCGGAAGGAUUUUAUCAAGCAAGAAGUGGACAAGUUCAAGGCUGUCGGGGCUAUCAGGGGAGUUCUGUACCCAACUUGGUUAGCUAACCCUGUAGUGGUACCCAAGGCGGGAAAUAAGCUUCGCAUGUAUGUAGAUUUUACUGAUCUUAACCAUGCAUGCCCCAAGGAUCCUUUCCCUGUGCCCCGCAUCAAUCAAAUAGUUGAUUCCACUGCUGGUUGCGACUUGCUGAGUUUUUUGGACGCUUUUUCCGGCUACCAUCAAAUCAAGAUGGCAGUCGAAGACGAGGAGAAAACAGCGUUCAUCACCCCGGUUGGCUGUUACUGUUACACAUGCAUGCCUUUCAGGUUGAAGAACGCGGGCUCAACAUUCCAACGCGCGCUGCGUGAAUGUUUGGGACCCCAGCUAGGCCAGAACGUGGAGGCCUACAUGGACGAUAUCGUCAUCAAAUCGAGGCUCGGGGACUCGCUAAUUGAUGACCUGCGGGAAACGUUUGAUAACCUUCGCAGGAUCAAACUCAAGUUGAACCUUGAGAAGUGCACCUUCGGUGUAGACUCGGGCCAGCUUCUGGCUUUCUUGGUUUCGCACAGGGGGAUACAAGCCAACCCACGCAAGAUAGAAGCUAUCGAGAAGAUGGAGGCUCCCCGCAAGGUGAAGGAUGUCCAGCGCCUCAACGGUUGCGUUGCCGCGUUGGGCCGCUUCAUCUCAAGGUUGGGCGAACGCGCCCUGCCUUUCUUCAAGGUAAUGAAGAAGAAGGGUCCGGUUGACUGGACCCCCGAGGCCGAGGCGGCGUUCCGGGAACUCAAGCAGUACCUGAGGUCGCCGCCCGUCCUCGUCGCCCCCAAGCCGGGCGAGCCGCUGCUACUAUACCUAGCAGCGACUGACCAGGGGGUCAGCUCGGUGCUGGUUCCCGAAAGGGAGAAAGACGUUCCGGGGACCCAGGCUGCAGGGCAGGGGGCUGCGCGGCCCCCGGCAACCACCUCGGACCUGGGGACUUUAGCACCGCACAAGCAACUCGUGCAGCACCUAGUGUACUUCGUUAGCACGGUGCUGCGCGACGCCCGUACGAGGUACCCGCAAGUGCAGAAACUCCUCCUGGGGAUUCUGUUUGCGUCCCGCAAGCUGCGCCACUACUUUCAGGCGCACCGCGUCACGGUGGUGUCAAGGUUCUACCUUGAGCGAGCCCUCACCAACCGUGAAGCCACCGGAAGGGUGGCCGAAUGAAGGAUGGAGCUGUCAGAGUUCGAUCUGCACUUCACCAACUCCAAGAGCAUCAAGAGUGCGGCUCUGGCGGACUUUGUCCCUGAGUGGACGUCGACGAGCGUAGAAGAGGAGGCGCCGGAGACCAGCCUGCCAGGCUGGCUAGACGAAGGCCACUGGGUCCUCUACUUCAAUGGCGCGUUCAAUCUCCAGGGAGCUGGCGCCGGGGUCGUCAUCGAGUCACCGACGGGGGAUCAGUUGAGGUUCGCUGUCCAACUCGAUUUCCCGAACUCCACCAACAACACGGCAGAGUACGAGGGUUUGCUCGCCGGGUUGCGGGCAGCUUUUGCCCUAGACAUUAUGCGCUUGGUUGUUCGCGGGGACUCCCAGCUGUGAUCAACCAGGUUAAUAAGGACUAUGACUGCCCGCAGAUGGCACCAUAUGUGGAGGAAGUCCGUAAGUUAGAACGGAAGUUCAAGGGUUUGCAAUUCGAGCACGUCAAGCGAAAGGACAACUUCUGACGGAACGCCGGAAGCCUCCGACGGGGGUGUUCUGGCACAGGCAAGCUGCGCCCUCAGUCGCCCCCGAGCCGGUUGCCGGGGAAGCCCCUCCGGCAACCGAAGGAAGCCCCACAACAACAGGGGUCCAUGCCGCUGACGUAGCAGCAUGCGUUGGCAGGGAGACCCCUCCCUGGGUGGUGGAAAUCGCCCGCUAUCUGAAGGGGGAGGCCCUCCCGGAAGAUGACGUCUCUGUGGAACGAGUGGCCCGGCAAGCCAAAAUGUACGCCAUGGUGGACGGGAACCUCUACCGCAGGUGCGCAAAUGGAAUCAUGCUUCUCUGGGUGCCUCAGGAUGAAGGGCACGCACUAUUGGAGGAUAUACAUCGAGGCACAUGCUCCCACCAUGUGGCCUCCCGGGCGCUGUCCGGCAAGACGUUUCGGCACGGUUUUUACUGGCCCACGGCCCUGGCCGACGCGGAGCAACUGGUGAAGACAUGUGAGGCGUGCCAGUUCCACUCGAAGAAGAGCAACCAGCCGGCGCAGGCCUUGCAUGUCAUCCCGUCCUCAAUGCCAUUUGCGGUCUGGGGGCUGGACAUCGUCGGCAAGCUGCUGAGAGCAAUCGGCGGCUACGAGUACUUGCUCGUGGCCAUCGACAAGUUCUCCAAGUGGGUGGAGGUGGAACCAGUGCGGAAGGUGAUUGCCCAGGCGGCCAUCAAGUUUUUCAAGAACAUUGUGUGCCGGUUUGGUGUGCCUAACGGCAUCAUCACCGACAACGGCACGCAAUUCACGAGCGCGUUGUUCCAGGCCUAUUGCGAGGGCAUGGGCACCAAGAUACACUUCGCGUCCGUUGCUCACCGGAGGAGUAACGGGCAGGCGGAGCGAGCCAAUGCGGAAGUGCUGCGGGGGCUCAAGACGAGAACCUUUGACAAGCUCAAAGGCCAUGGGAAACACUGGGUCGAAGAACUCUAACCCGUGCUGUGGUCAAUCAGGACCACACCUAGCCGGGCAACGGGCGAAACUCUUUUCGCCCUUGUCUACGGGGCAGAAGCAGUGCUGCUGUAACAUCCCAAAAUUUCAAACUUUUACAUGUGCAUUGCAUGCAUGAGCAUCAUGCCACAAUUGCAUAUUUGAACUCAAAUUUUGAAUCUCAAAAGGCUUUAAAAGAUUUGGUUUACACCCAUUUGAGCUUUGGAAUUUUCAAACCAAUAGGGUUUAUGCAUAAAAGGGUUUAAUGCAUAUAUAAGCUAUCCCAUAAUAUUUGGAUAAUUAUUUGGAGUUGAAAAAUUGUUUUAUUUAAAUAGAUAUAUGGCCCUAAAGGCAUUUAUAGGGCAAAGGUAUUUUUAUAUAUUUUAUUUUGAAGAGAAACUACUUUCAAAAGUUGUUUCAUGGUAGGACAUGAUUUUGCAAAUUUUCUGGAUAUCAUUUGGACCAAUUUGGAGUUCAAACUCAAAAGAUAUCAAAGAAAUGAGAAAAGCAGAAAAAGAAGAGGGCUAAAAGAAAAAAAAAAGGAGAAACGGACCGGCCCGGCCACUUUGGGCUGAACCGGCCCAUUCCUCACGCACGCGCGCGCGCAGCCCAGCCCAGCAGCGCCCCGCGCCGUGCCCACACCCGCUGACAGGUGGGGCCCACCUGUCAGGGGGCUUCUUCCCCGGAAGGAAAGCCCCGCGUCCGCCGCGCGCCUUCCUUCUUCGCCGCCGCGCGCUCACCACCGGAUUCCCCUCGCUGCGUCCCUUAAUCCUCGAGCCCGAGCGCGUCCAUAAAUAGCCCAUGCCCUCCUCUCUUCUUCCCCCUUGCUUCCCCAGCCAAUCGCGCCACCAGGCCGCCCCGAUUCUUCGCCGGAGCCGCGCCCGCGCCGUCGCUGUCUUCGCGUCACGCCGACGAGCUCCGUGAGUAAACCUCAAAGCCGCUUGCCCCAUUCUUCUCCUCUCUCUCUCGUGCACCCUGUGAUGCACUCCAGUGUCGCUUUCGCGCACUGCAGCGCCGCCCACGUCGACACCGAACCUCGCCGGAGUCCGCCCCCCGCGCCGCCGAGCUCGCUUCGUCCUAGGCGAGGCGUCCGACCGCCCCGUGCCGCGCCGACCGCGCCAUCGACCUCGCCGUGCCGCGCCGCGCCUCCUCGUGACUUCCCCGAGCCGCCCGCGUCGCCGGAGCACCCCGCGCCGCCAUGCCCGUGCCCGCGCCGCCAUCCCCUCUGUCUCCGGUGACCGUCGCCGCCGCCUGGUAAAAACCCUAGCCCCUCGUCCGUCCGAUCUUUGAUCAACGGUGUAGAUUAGAUCGUUCUUAUUCACUUAAACGAACCGGUACGCACCAAUCAGGAGCCACCACGUGUAACUGCGUAAAUAAAAUGAUAAUGUAAUUUUUAAUUCCCCGGAAUAAUUAAAAGGUACUUUUGCAGAUAGGCCCCUGUAACUUCAAAUGAUCAUAACUUUAAAUCUGUUUGACCAAAUUUAAUGUUCCACAGCUUUUUGGAAUCCUUAGGUUAUGUAGAAUCUUUUGGCACUGUCCGGGUCUAGGUUCAUACAACUUACUCUUGUCUCGCCAGAGCCCAUAUAGCAUUGUGGUUGUACUGGAAGCUUCUAAAUAGGAAACUAGUCUAGUCUCGGUUACCCCAGGUGGCAUUCCACAUUUGCAACGUAGGCGCUCCCCGAAUCCACGGGAGAGACGUCCAUGGACGAUCCAUUCCUGAAUCCACAGGAGCUCGACUCAGAGGGACCCAUAGAAAUGGACCUGACGCCGCUAAUCCUCAAAAUCUUCAAAGCAGCCCACCCAGGACGGUUCACCUCGUUUGUCUUCAGCGCUAGUUUAUACGGGGGCGGUCGCUUCACGCGUACUCUGGUUUUCACCAGAUACCGCUGAACCCUAAUGAUCAAAUAAAUACAUCAUUGAUCACCCCGUUCGGGGCUUAUUUCUAUCGCAUUAUGCCAUUUGGUUUGAGAAAUGCAGGGGCUACUUAUCAAAGAUGCAUGCAGAAAUGCUUGCACGAUCAACUUGGCAAAAAUGUGCAGGUGUAUGUUGGCGAUGUUGUCAUAAAAACCAAAGAAAGCACCACGCUGCUGGAUGAUAUCCGGAAAACAUUCGCAAAUUUGAGGAGAUUCCGAAUGAAGCUAAACCCGGCCAAAUGCACAUUCGGUGUGCCGACAGGGAAGUCGCUUGGGUUCCUGGUAUCAAGUCGAGGUAUAGAAACGAACCAUGUGAAAAUCGCCGCCAAAGAGAGAAUGAAAUUGCCGAAAUGUCUCAAAGAUUUGCAGAAAUUCACUGGAUGCCUAGCAUCUCUAAGUCGUUUCGUUAGUCGGCUGGAUGAAAAGGCAAUGCCCUUAUACCAGCUGAUAAAGAAAACCGACAAAUUUGUGUGGAUGCAACAGGCAGAAGUAGCAUUUCAAGAGCUGAAGAAGAUGAUUGCUACGGCGCCGAUAUUAGCCUCGACGAUGGAAAAAGAUCCAAUGUUGUUGUACAUAGCAGCAACAAACUGAGUCGUUAGCGCAAUCAUAGUGGUGGAAAGAGAUGAAAACAGCAAAUCGAUGCAGAGGUCGGUAUAUUACCUGAGCGAGGUGUUAUCGUUGUCUAAGCAGAAUUAUCCCCAUUAACAGAAGAUAGCAUACGGCGUUUAUAUGGCGGCAAAGAAGCUGAAGCAUUAUUUUGAUGCGCAUCAGAUCCGGGUUAUAUGCGAGGAGUCCAUCUCGGAAAUCAUGAGCAAUAAAUACGCAAGAGGCCGGAUCGCAAAAUGGGCUAUUGAGUUAGCACCCUACACGCUGCAGUACGACAGACGGGAUGCCAUAAAAUCUCAGGCUCUCGCGGAUUUCCUGGUAGACUGGGCCGAGAUAGAAUAUGAACCACCGCCGCCUGAAACUAGCUACUAGAAGAUGCAUUUUGAUGGCUUUAAAAUGAAAAGUGGGCUUGGUGCUGGCAUAGUCUUAAGUUCACUUAAGCGCGACCAACUUAAAUAUGUGCUGCAAAUUCAUUUUGCGGCAUCCAACAAUGUUGCCGAGUAUGAGGCGCUUGUGCACGGACUGAAGAUGGCAAAAGAAAUUGGCGUUCGCCGGAUUCAGUGCUUUGGCGAUUCCGACUAGGUAGUCCAGCAAGCUUCCGGCAAUUGGGAUGCAUUGGAUGCCAAUAUGGCGCUAUACCGCUUUCAUGUUCAGAAGAUCAGUGGUCACUUCGAAGGAUGCGAAUUCCAUUAUAUACCGCGGGCGGAGAAUGAGGCAGCUAACACGUUGUCGAAGCUCGGCUCAAUGUGUGAAGUGAUCCUCCCCCUUACAGGGUUCGAUCUCUGUGCUUACUGUGCUAGUCCCUGGAUCGACUCACUAGCACACACAGUUUCAUGAUGAAAUAUACAGAAACAAAGGUCAAAGUACUUUAUUACAUCGCAUCAUCCAGGAUUUAAAUAGGACUUAGAACCUCGCAUGACCCCUUGGGUCAGCAUAAACAAAUACUGUUUCAACAUGAUAAAACAUUGUUUUCACAACUGCAGCGGAAAAGGGUAGAACAUAAGGGCCACAACUACUCCAAGGUGAGAGCAUGUUGAAAUGUAAGCACAUGACCCACGAGACAACGAAGAACCUCACUCAUCGUCGGAUUCACCUGCAUUAUUAAUUGCAGCCACUAUGUGGUCAAUACAUUUGAAUGUAUUGGCAAGUUCACCAGAGUUAUAAAAGACCUACCAAGUACAUGCGUAAUUUGGCUAGGAGGGGUUUGGCUAUUUGCAUAAAAGCAUCAUUGUUCAAUCCUAUCAUUUUUAAACAAAUAGUUUUGAAUUCUAUUGGACACGGGGUAGAAACACCCAUGCUCCUAUUAACCUAGGCACAUUGAGUAGAUACAUCAAUGCUCCUACGCAGUUCAAUCCAUUCGUUUUAUUAGGAAAUUGGAAUGAGUGAGACCUUCCUUACAGCCCCAAUAUCUAGUUUCUCAUAACUGUCCGUAACCGGGGACACGGCUAAGUACUUCGUUUGACACUCUUGAGAGGUGGUACACUUUACCCACAAGAAAUCGACGUGUUAAUCCCUUGCUGUCCUCAGGGUAGAGUAGCAACGGCAUCGACUACAGGAAUUUUCAGAACAUAAUCCUCCAGACCACCUCAGGGACGUGCCCCCACCUACACUGCUACAUACCGAUGUCACCUCGGAUCCGGGUUCAUAUUUCUUACAUCCAUCCUGGUAGAGCCCAUAAUACCAUGUGGUUGUACUGGAAGCUACUAAACAGGAAACUAGUCCAGUCUCUGGUUACCCCGGGUGGCAUUCCUCGGUUGCAACGCAGGCACUCCCAUAGAAAUGGCAUGAUGACUCAUAGAAAUGGACCCAUAGAAAUGGACCUGACGCCACAUACAUCUCCACUUCCUCAAAGCAGCCCACCCAGGACGGUUCAUUGAAUUACUUGUUUUGCCAUACACUAGGAAAACCAUAUUGUAAUUCAAUAGUAUCACAUUGUAAUAAUACCACUCUCGUAUAUUAUCAUAGCAUAGCAUUUUACUACCACGAUGGUAAUUGGUGGUGAGGACAUGGCAAGGGUAUCCUAUACUACUAGGAGAGAUCAUAGCUAGCAUAGAUACUAUAAUAAUCCUAACAAUGUAACUAAUAAAAACUAGUGCAUAAGAAAAUAAUAGGAUGAUGGUCAAAGUGAACUUGCCUGAUUAGUGUCUUUGUAUUCUUCUUCUUUUCGAUAGUCAUAGUUACUGCACUCCGUACAAUCUAUCGCGAAGAACGAAAAGCAAUAAUAAAUAACUAUUCGAGAACUCCAAAUCAUAACUCCAAUUAAAGAACCAAAAGCAAAUACAAAGUUUAAAUUAGAUAGUACCUAACUACUGUUAGGCUAUCGUAGGCAUAGAUCUAAGAGGUAGGAACAAGUCUUGGGUUCUAUCGGAGUUGAAACAGUGAAGUCAUUGACUGUUAACAGAUACAAUUUUCUAGGGGUCAUGAGCUAUGGUAGAUGAACUUAAAAAGGUGCACAAAGUGAUCCAGAAUCAAGAGUUGGGUUUAUUCUUGUCAACACAGAAAGAAAGAACUGGUUUAGAAUUAGGGAUCAACAGAUAUGCCUCUUCGAAGGUAGCUAACCAGUAAUCAGACUGCAGCAGAUACAAUUUUCAACUGGAAAUACACUAUUUAUUAUGAACUUGAACUAGGUGAAAAAUUGGACUGGUGUGAGGAGGGUGAUCUAUUCUUUGUAUUACAGAAGGAAUUGGAUUAAUAGGACAGACGGAUAAAAAUAUAUGAGCUUGCAAAGACGGCUAGUCAGAAACUGGCAGACUAAAGGUACUAAUUCCAAUUGAAAUUUUACUGGUGCGAAUGACUUCAAAAGACAGAGGGCCAAUGUGAUGAAUUAAACUAGAUCUAACAAGAUUUCAAACUCCACUGGUGUAACCUAAAUAGGAGUUGUGAGUCAAAAGAUGCAGGCUUACAAAAAAGGCUAAUCUAUAACAAAGUUUCUGUAACUAAAGGCUUAGAAUUGGCAGUGUGGGGAACUGUUGAAGGUUCUGUUUUUCAAUGACGAUGCACUAGUGUGGAUGAACUUGGAAAGGUGUUAAAAGAGGUAUAGUAUUUAUAUUUGUAUUUGAUAUUGACGUGAAAGAAAUAAUCAUCUAAUUUGAAGUAACGGCUCAAAAGAUAUAGGCUUCGGAAGACAGCUAACUGAUGUGAUAGUGUUAACAGAUACGACUUUUGAUUGAAGAUGCACCUCUGUAGAUGAAUCCUAAGUUGUGCAAGGAGUACACUAAUGUGUAGACCAUGAUAUAAUUUAUGAACUACAGAAGGUUUGGAACCAAACGGAUCAAUGGAACAACCUACAUGAAUUUCGAAACGUGGCUAAUCUAGAAGCAGCAUACUGUGAAUAGCAAUUUCCAACGAAUAUGCCGUACUGAAGAUCAUGGAGAAGGGGUAUAAAAACUGAUAUAAUAUAUAGGUGAGUACGUGAUCUAAUUACAACAGAAAAAUUCAGCCAAAAAUGAUACACAGAUCAAAAGAUAUGGGCUUCUAAACAUGGCUAAUCAAAACUGCUGCGGCUGAAAAGUUGCUCACCGGAAAAGACAAGGAGUUCGCCGGAGUUAAAAGAGGAUGGCGAUGAUGUCAACGUAGGGUUCAAUGGGGCCGUGAAAGACGUCGAGGCGGACAUCGUGACGCGGCUUGCGCGGUCGUAACAUCUCCGGAUGGCGACGGGCAAAGCUCCGGGCACGGCGUCGGCAUGGGGUCAGGCACGGCGCGGCCAACGAUGAAGAUGGAUCGCAUAAACUUGUCACGGAGGUAGGAGAUGGUCAAGUGAGUGCACCGGUGAAUGGAAUUUAAAAACGGACCUUCGGAGAGAGCUCACCGGCAACAAUGGCGGAGGCGACGGGCGGAUAAAGACGUCGACGUAGCCGGAUGUACAGAGGUUUUGAUGCGAAACUUUCUACAUGGGAAUGGGAGAGGAGAGGCAAAGGCUCAAAGUGACGCGCGUGAAAUCCUUUUAUACUGGCCGAGGAGGGAGAUCGGGUGCGGGAUGUCGACAGGCGGCAUUCGGGGCGCCUCUUUUGGAAACUGCGAUUAUGAGAGGAAACUUCAAAUUAAUUGACUGAAUCGGUUCCUGGGAUGGUGAGGAUUGAUAGGGUGAUGUCCUUUCGAAGAGAGACACGUGGGAAGGAAAGAAAUCGAAGAAAGAAAAUAUGAAAGGAGGGGUUUCCUUUACUUGCAGAGGAGGAAGAACACGAGCACGAGCUCGUGCUCGGCUGGGCUGCUAGGUGGAGAUGGGCCGGCCCAGUUUGGGUCGGUCCAUUCUCUCUUUUUUUUUCUUUUUCUUUUUUUCCAUUUUUGUUUUUAUUAAUAACUUUUGAUUCCUAACUCCAAAUAAGUCCAAAUAAACUCCAGUAAAUUUGUAAAUUCAAAUCCUCCAAAGUGUGAACUUUUGGGACUUGAUUCCUUUCAAAAUAAAAUAAGUGAAAAUACUUUUGCUUAUAUAAAUGUCAUUAAGGCUUUAUAAGUAAUACAUAAAAUAGGUUUUGAAAUCUAUUAUGAAACCUUUGUUUCUUAAAUUAGUUUAAACUCCAAUAAAAUGUUGGGUUGUCAUACUUUGCACUAAAACCGUUCCUUAGCUAAAUACCCCAUUGGGUUGAACUCCAAAUAAAAUCUCAUAAUAAUAAUACAGUUCAAUUAAAUUCACAAAUAGCUUUAUAACACCAAAUCACAAACCAUGUAAACCAUCGCAGAUGUUUCCAAACCCUGACGCCCCUACCGAACCUAAAAGGGGGCCGUGACCGCACGCCCCCGGUGUCGGAGCACCGUGCGACGACAUCUGGCGCGCCAGGUAGGGGGCGCGGAAAAAGAGCCUGCCGGUGGUCGCCGGCAGCAUCGUUUGCAUCGACGUCGGCCUCGCCUUCUUCGCCGACGAGAAUAGUCACCAUGCCCCCCAAGCGGGCUGGUGAUCCUCGUAUAGACCCGCGUGAAGCCCCAGCGGCGCACACGCGGUCGCAUGACAUGCGACCCGAGUCGGAGGCUUCGGAGAACCUCGAGCCCUCAAGGGUGCAGCAGACACAGCUGCCUCCCCCGCCUCCUCGGCCGUCUGCCGACAAUCGGCCGAGGGGAACGGCUGCCCCCAGUGCCGGGGCCAGUCGCGCGAGCACGCCCGGUGCCGCCCGCUCCGGGCAGCGGGUUGAGUCGCGGGCCGAGGAUGCUCCGCGACGGCGGCACCAGGAGCAUACCGCGUCGCCGGCGACCCCUAGGGGUUCGCACCCUGCGCACCCGGAGGCGUCCGGGGCCAGCGCAGGAAGCAGCCGCUCGGGAAACCGGCUGCCCCCCGCACGAACCCCGGCUGAAGCCAUCAUCGCCGCGUGCGUCAUGGUGCGGUACGAACCGCAGCAAGGCACGCCGGCGCACGAGACGUGGGGCGAGGAGUUAGAGGUGCUCCUCGCCCUGGCCGCCCAGCAGCCGCAAGGCGAGGGCGCCCCAGUAGGCUCCGGCCACGGGCAGAACCCGGAGCGCAUGGACGCGCCACCCGCCUCGCGACAGGGGGAGAAUCCUCCCCCUUUGCAGGGAGGCCAAGGAGACGGGGGCCCGGAGGGGUCCUCGAACUCGUCGCCCACUGUUCCGGGGGGCGAUGCGCGCGGCAUCUUCAAUGCCCGCUAGCAAGAGGAUUUGCGCCAGCGCUUGGAGUGUCGGCGUAGGCGCGAGGUAGAGUGCCAGCGCCCACAGGAGCAGGAAGACGCUCCCAUGGGCCCCAAGCAUGGUUGCACCGCGUUCACACGCGAGUUGCGGCGGGUGACGUGGCCCCGUAAGUUCCGAGCGCCUGCGCUCGGUACGUACGACGGGACCGCCAACCCCAAGGAUUUCCUCUUGACCUACACGUUGGGUAUGCACGUCAUUGGCGCCGACGACAAGGUCAGGGCAAACUGGUUCCCGAUGGUCCUAAAAGGAUCAGCGCGAACCUGGCUACUCAACCUGCCCACCGGGUCCAUCGCCACAUGGGCGGACCUGCGCGAGCAGUUCGUGAGCGCAUUCCAGGGCGGUUAUAAGCGCCCGGGAACCAUGGCGGAGCUGCACACUAUUGUGCAGAAGCCGGGAGAGACGUUGCGGGCCUUCGUCAACCGCUUCUCCAACCUCUCCUAUUCCAUCCCAGAGGCGGAGGCGGCGGCCAUCAUCAACACCUUCGCCAUCAACGUCCGUGAUCCCAAGAUGCACGAGAAGCUGAGCACGCAUCGGAUCCGGACGACACGGGACCUAUAUGCCCUGGCGCACAAAUGCGCCAUGGCCGAGGAAGGGCGCCUAGCGCCCGAGCUAGCAGCUAAGGCUGCCGCGAGCCCUGGCAAGGGGUCGAAGAAGAAGGGUUCCCGCAAGCGCUGCGGGAAGCAAGUUCUCGUCGCGGACUCGGGGGCUCCUGCCGCGAGGCCUGUGAAGAAGGCCUCGCCGGGUGACGGAUCUGGCGGGAAGCAGGGCGACGCGCCCCGCUGCCCCAUUCACAGCAACUCCACCCACGACGCGCAGAACUACCGUGUUCUGCAGGGGAUCAAGCAGCGGCGGGAGCAGCGCCAUGAGGAGCGCCGCGCCGCCGACGCCUGCUUCAACUGUGGCGACAUCGGGCAUCUCUCCCGAGACUGCGGGGCCAAGGCCUGCCGGCGGCGGUGCCAGCAGGGAUGAACCCCAAGGGGGGCGCGGUCAGCCCCGCGCUGGGCGGGAACGCCCCCCCCCCCCCCCGGGGACGCGACAGGGCGUGCGCUGAGGAGAGGAGCAGCGCGAGUCCGACUGUACUGGCGGCGACGAGCCGGGCUUCCAGGAGCCUCGCGGCGUCGCCUGCAUUCAUGGGGGAGCUUAUGCUCUCCCAUCCCAUGCCGCGGUGAAGCGCCUCACCCGCGACGUGUGCGCGCUGUUGCCGGAUGCAGAGCCGCAACAGCCGCUGAGGUGGUCGCACGUGCCGAUCACCUUCAGCGCCGACGAUCACCCAGCACGGCAGUUGGGUUCAGGGGUAAUACCCUUCGUCGUCUCGCCGAUCAUUAGCAAUAUGAUGGUGACCAAGGUGUUGGUGGAGAACAGAGCGGGGCUUAACCUCCUAUCCGCCAGGCUGGUGGAAAAACUCCAGUUGCCGAUGGAGCAGCUGAAGCCCACCGACCCGUUCCGGGGGGUGAACCCCGGGAUCGUGCGCCCGCUGGGACGCAUCACGCUGCCAGUCACCUUUGGGUCCCGGGAAGCGUUCAGGACCGAACACCUAGUGUCCAACGUGGUGCAUACCCCGCUGCCCUACAACGAGAUCCUUGGUCGGCCAGCGCUGAUCAAGUUCAUGGCGGCCACGCAUUGCGCCUAUGGCGUGAUGAAGAUGCCGUCCAUCUAUGGAGUCCUCUCCAUCAGGUGCGACCUCAAGGACGCGGCCUGGUGCGUCGACGAAGUCGUCCGGGCUGCUACCGUAGCUGACGCCGGCGACGAGGAUGCUGCCGGAGACGACAGCUUGCCGGGUGAUGCCCCGGCAACGAAGAAGGCCCGUGCUACCCCGCAAGAGCUUGCCGGGGGAGGCGCACGCUCGAGCUCGCGCCCCGGCAAGGGGCAGAGGCUCCGGGAGGAGGCCGCCAAGUUGAAGAAGCUGCCCCUCCAAGCCGGCGACAAGGAGCGCACCGUUACCGUGCAUAAGAUUCGGCGGCAAGCACAAGAGCGUAAGGAUUUCAUCAAGCAAGAGGUGGACAAGCUCAAGGCUGCCGGGGUGAUCAGGAAAGUUCAGUACCCUACUUGGCUGGCUAACCCUGUAGUAGUGCCUAAAGCAGGGAAUAAGCUUCGCAUGUGUGUAGAUUUUACGGAUCUUAAUCGCGCAUGCCCCAAGGAUCCCCUCCCUGUACCCCGUAUCGAUCAAAUAGUUGAUUCUACCGCUGGUUGUGACUUGCUGAGUUUUCUGGAUGCUUUCUCCGGCUACCAUCAAAUCAAGAUGGCGGUCGAGGAUGAGGAAAAGACAGCGUUCAUCACCCCGGUUGGCUGUUAUUGUUAUACAUGCAUGCCUUUCGGGUUGAAGAACGCGAGCUCCACAUUUCAACGCGCCCUGCACGAAUGUUUGGGGCCCAGCUAGGCCACAACGUGGAGGCCUACAUGGACGACAUCGUCAUCAAAUCGAAGCAUGAGGACUCGCUGGUUGAUGACCUGCGGGAGACAUUUGACAACCUCCGCAGGAUCAAGCUCAAGCUGAACCCCGAUAAGUGCACCUUCGGUGUCAACUCCGGGCAGCUUCUGAGUUUCUUGGUUUCACACAGGGGGAUACAGGCCAACCCGAGCAAGAUAGAAGCCAUCGAGAAGAUGGAGGCCCCUCGCAAGGUGAAGGAUGUCCAGCGCCUCGACAGCUAUGUUGCCGCGCUGGGACGUUUCAUCUCCCGGCUGGGGGAGCGUGCCCUGCCUUUCUUCAAGGUGAUGAAGAAGAAGGGUCCAGUCGACUAGACUCCCGAGGCCGAGGCGGCGUUCCGGGAACUCAAACAGUACCUGAGGUCGCCGCCCGUCCUCGUCGCCCCCAAGCCGGGCGAGCCGCUGCUACUCUACCUAGCGGCGACUGACCAGGUGGUCAGCUCGGUGCUGGUUGCCGAGAGGGAGGAAGAUGUCCCGGGGACUGAGGCUGCAGGGCAGGGGGUUGACCGGCCCCCGGCAACCGCCUCGGACCUGGGGACCACCCCCGAGUCAGCAGCCUCGGCACCGCGGAAGCGGUUGGUGCAGCACCCGGUGUACUUCGUUAGUACGGUGCUGCACGACGCGUGGACGAGGUACUCGCAAGUACAGAAGCUCCUUCUGGGGAUUCUCCUUGCGUCCCGCAAGCUGCGCUACUACUUUCAGGCGCACCGCGUCACGGUGGUGUCCGGGUUCUGCCUUGAGCGGGCCCUCACCAACCGUGAAGCCACCGGGAGGGUGGCCGAAUGGAGGAUGGAGUUGUCGGAGUUCGACCUCCAUUUCGCCAACUCCAAAAGCAUUAAGAGCACAGCCUUGGCGGACUUCGUCGCUGAAUGGACGUCCACAGGCAUGGAAGAAAGUGAGCUGGAGACCAGCCUGCCCGGCAAGCUGGACGAGGGCCACUGGGUCCUCUACUUCAACGGCGCGUUCAGUCUCCAAGGAGUAAGCGCCGGGGUCGUCAUCGAGUCACCGACAGGGGACCAGUUGAGAUUCGUUGUCCAACUCGACUUCGCGAACUCCACCAACAACACGGCGGAAUACGAGGGCCUGCUUGCUGGGUUGCGGGCGGCGGUCGCCCUCGAUAUUAAGCGCCUAGUUGUUCGCGGCGAUUCCCAGCUCGUGAUCAACCAGGUGAACAAGGACUACGACUGCCCGCAAAUGGCGCCGUACGUGGAGGAGGUCCGCAAGCUAGAAGGUAAGUUCAAAGGUUUGCGUUUCGAGCACGUCAAGCGGAAGGAUAACUUCGCUGUUGACGAGCUGGCCAAGAUGGCAGCAGAGCGCCGGAAACCUCCGGCGGGGGUGUUCUCUCAGAAGCAAGCGGCUCCUUCAGUCGCCCCCCAGCUGGCUGCCGGAGACGCCCCUCCGGCAAUCGAAGGAACCCCUGCAGCAGCAGGGGUCCAUGCCGCUGACAUAGCGGCAUGCGUUGGCAAGGAGAUCCCUCUCUGGGCGGAAGAGAUCGCCCACUACUUGAAAGGAGGGGCUCUCCCGGAAGAUGACGUCGCCGCAGAGCGAGUAGCGCGGCAAGCCAAGAUGUAGACUAUGGUGGAUGGGAACCUCUACCGAAGGCGUGCAAACGGUGUCAAGCUUAUCUGCGUGCCGCAGGAUGAAGGGCACGCACUGUUGGAAGACAUACACCGAGGCACAUGCUCACACCAUGUGGCCUCCCGGGCUUUAGCCGGCAAGGCGUUUCAACACGGCUUCUACUGGCCCACGGCCCUGGCCGACGCGGAGCAGCUGGUGAGGACGUGCGAAGCAUGCCAGUUCUAUUCGAAGAAGAGCAACCAGCCGGCGCAGACCCUACAUGUCAUCCCUUCCUCGUGGCCGUUCGCGGUCUAGGGGCUCGACAUCGUCGGUAACCUACCAAGGGCAGUUGGCGGUUACGAAUAUCUGUUCGUAGCCAUCGACAAGUUCUCCAAGUGGGUGGAGGUGGAACCAGUGCGGAAGGUGACCGCCCAGGCGGCCAUCAAGUUCUUCAAAGGCAUUGUGUGCCGGUUUGCUGUGCCUAAGAGCAUCAUCACCGACAACGGCACACAGUUCACAAGUGCAGCGUUCCAGGCAUACUGCGAAGACAUGGGCACUAAGCUGCGUUUCGCGUCCGUUGCUCACCCAAGGUGUAACGGACAGGCGGAACAAGCCAACGCAAUCAGGACCACACCUAGUCGGGCAACGGGCGAAACUCCUUUCGCCUUUGUCUACGGGGCAGAAGCGGUGCUGCCUCUCGAGCUCAAGCACGGAUCUCCCCGGGUACGCGCGUACGGCGACACCAGCCAACACGACCAAAGGGUUGCCGAUCUAAACUUCAUCGAAGAGCUUCAAUGUCGGGCUGCUGUGCGAGCAGGGACUCCGUCGUUAUCACGACAGGCGAGUCCGUCCCCGGGGGCUCGAGAACGGCGACCUUGUCCUGCGCCGGAUACAAGGAACGAAGGCCAGGAACAAGUUGACUCCGAAAUGGGAGGGCCCCUUCCGGGUAGUGCAGGUGACCAGGUUGGGGGUUGUCCGGCUGGAAACCGAAGACGGCUUGUCGGUGCCUGAACAUGAAUGCCGAAUUCGCUAAGAACUGAACGGAAUUGAGCACUGUCUCGUUGGGUGUGGUCCCAGAUUCUGUGCAUAGCCAGAGUGUUAAAAGGACGCUUGCGGGGGGAGUGCGCUCCCCGUGUGGCUUUGCGGGUCCGUCCCGGAAGGGCACGGCUUGGAAUAGUUACCCUGCGAGUGGAGUGGCUCCCCGCUACCGCUUGGCCCCAGGUCGGCACCGCGGGUCCGUCCCGGGUCCCUAGUCUAGUCAAGGGUGAGGCGCGCGAGUCCCCUGCAACACAAGGCAAAAUGCACGAAGGCUAAAAGGGCCGCCCCGCUAGACAGCACCGGGAACAAUGAACAUGUCGAAAAACUUAAUUGACUAAGAGUCGAACGAUUACAUGGCCUAAUCCGAAGUAUAAUUGUUCAAACAAUGAUAAGCGCCACACUUGCAGGGAAAGCAAACAAAAGAAGAUACAUUGGGGAGCAACAAGCACGGCUGGGGGCUGCGGCAACUAGUUGCCGCCGUCUUCGGCCGAGGGGUCGGUGGGGAGAUUUGGCUCCGGCUUCAUCUCCAUCCGCUCGACCACCUCGUCAACGAACUCGCGCACUGCUUGGGUGUGCGUGGGCUCGUCCUCGCUGUCAGACCAAGCGUCCAGCAGGGACUCGAAGGGAAACUCCGGGUCCCGGAGAUGAAUCCGCGGGAGGAUUGUCCCGGCAACCUCCCAAGCACAGUUGGCGACUUCGUUGGCGCCGUACUGGGCGAUCCAGACGUCGAGCGCCCCAAGCUUUCCCAUCAGAUCGGAGAAGAAGGGGAUCAGCGUCGUGACAUCUGUCCCGUCCACUUCCGCUGCCUGCAGCUCGAACUUGGGCAGCAGGUCGCACAGCGACUGGGCGAUCUUCAGCAGCUUAUCGAUCUCGAUUUUCCGCUGACCGAUUAGCGUGCCGUGAUGAAGCCGGGCGUUGACGGCAGCCUCCUUGGCCUUGCUGAGGUGGCCCGCCAGCUUCUCGAACUCUGUGGCCUUGGCCACAUUGUCCUCGCCUGGCUUGACGAGCUCCUCCCGGACGGUGGCCAGCUCGGUCUCAAGCCUGGCCGCUCUGUCCUUGGCGGAGCCGAGCUCGGUCUCCGGCCGAGCCGCCGCUCCUACCGCGUCUUCGGUGGCCUUGACUUGCACCUCCAGCAUGGCGCGAAGGCCUUGGAUUUUGCCACGAUAGUUGGCGAUCAGGACACUCUUCUCGUCUAGCCGGGUCUGGGCCGCCGCGACCACCUCGGCAUGUUCCUUCUUGGUCGCCUCGAGGGUGGCCGCCAUUGAGUCGAGCUUCCCCUGGAGCUCCAUGCGUUGGGCCUCCAGCUGCCGGUGGAGCUCGGCCUCCGGGACCAUAGGCUCCCGGACGUCCUCCAGGGCUUGCCGGGCCAGCCGCGCCUCCUCCUCGGCGAGGUGCAUCUCCUCGCGCAGCCGGGACAAUUCUCGCCGCUCUCUCUCCAUGGCCUCCCGCACCUCGCCAACUUGGUUCUUGGCGGCAGCGUGAUGCUCCCUCACCUCGUUGAAGGUGGUGACGAAGGCCUGUUGCUGGUCCCUAACGGCGUCCAGGAACCGGUGCCCCCGCUCGAAGAUGCUCGGAUCCCAGGUGAGGGGGUUCCAAGCGACCCCGGCGAGGGUGCCGAGGUCGGUACCGGGGAGAGCCGCCGAGGAUGAUGAAGCCCCCGCUGCCGAUGUGAGGCUGUGUGCGGGGUCACCAGCCAGCUCCCGGGGGUCUUGCUGUCCUUCCCCGGCAACUUCCCCUGUGCCUGCGCCCAGGGACCUCGGGGCUGGGGAAGCCUCCCUGCUCCCGGCGGGGGCUGUCCCCUGCUGGGCGGCAGGUGAGCCCGCGCCAGUCACAUCCGCAGCUACGGGCCGUCGCCGGGUGUCGUCUCAGCGGCGGCGGUGUCCACCGCUGCCCCUGCCUCCGCAUCGGCGGGGCUUGACGUGAGAGCCGGUUCCGGCUCCACCUCCGCCCCCGCGACUUCGACGAUCGGGUCAAGAUCGACCACGGUCGCGCCCAUUCCAGGUGUGGGCGCACUUGUGGCUGCGACGAUGAGAAGCAUGAGGAUCGGCGAGUAACGUGACUAUCAAAAACGGACAAAGGAGACCAGGAUGGUUACCUUGCGCAGCUGUCGGGCUUGCGGGGGGAGCCUCUCCUGCCUCGCCUGCGCCGGCAGGAGCGUCCAAGAGGCUUGCCGCGGGCGAGCUACCGCUCACUGCGAAAAAAGGUACGUUCAUGAGUUUGGCUAACAGAAAAUUGCAGCUGCGGAUAAGUAACGAAGACAUACCGGUUGCCGGCCCUGCCUCCGUGGGGGCUGGGCCGUCAGGGGGCACGAUCGCGUCGCUGCCAACCCCUGCGGCGGUGGGGUCGGCGGCGCUGCUCGCAUCGGCGCGUGCCCUCUUGCUUGGUGUGCCGGGCGGGGAAUCGCUCCUCACCCUCUUGCUGGCACCCGCCGGCGAGUUGGACUUCGGGGGGUUACGCCGGAGCGCGAAGCCCCGGAAGACUCCCCGAGCGGGCGGCACCGGGGGCGCCCGCUGAGUCGUCGUGACCCGGAGAGUCCCGGGUGUCAACGGUGAUGCCGCCGCGGUGCCGAGAGCCGACCUUGGGGAGGCUCCCGCCACUGGGGCGAGGGCCGUUGCCGAGACUCCGGCGACCCCUGCGGACGCGGGCGCUACCGGAGUACCGACGGGCGCCCUGGGAGCAGCUGCCGCCAUGGUGCUGGCGGCUGCCGUUGAGGCGGAGGCCGCUGCCGAGGUAUCGACGGGCGUCCCUGAAGCGACUGUUGCCGCAAGGUUGGUGGCCGCUGCCGGGGCGGACGUCGCCGUCGAGGAGAUGGCUGCGGCUGCUGCAAACGCCCUCGACCUCCUCACGAUCAGGGGCGCACUGUCGCGGCUUUCAUCGUCGUCGUCCACGGCGACGACCUCCGGGGACGCAGCCGCCUGGCCCGCCUCGUCGUCCAGCGACUGGAGGGAGGGCCAGCUGGGCUCAGAUCCGCCCCCGCUCUCCUCGAGCACCUGCUUCUCGCGGGGUGCUUGCGGGGGAGCGUGCGGGACCCGAGUGGGGGUGUCGUCCAUCAACCCCCACUCGUUGCAGGGCGGGAAGGCGCCGACGAUAUCACUGAGCGCCUUGACGCCAGCGUGGAGACAAGAAACCCCUGGCGGGAACUCCGUUGAUUGGAAGAUCUCGCCGGAGAUCCCCCUCACCCACGUCCUGAGGGUCUCCAAGUCCACGUCGUCCUGCUGGAGGCAUGUCCUGUCCCCGGGACCCGUGUACAUCCACACAGGCCGGGAGCGUAGCUGCAGCGGGGCUAUGCGCCGAUGGACAAAGGUGCGUGCCACGUCCACGUCGGUGAGCCCCGCUAGCCACAGCGCCUUGAUCUUCUCCACGAUGGGGAGGAGGUCGGCGUUGCGGUGGUACCUGUCCUACCAGUCGUUCUGGGGUUGCGGCAGCUCCGUCGACGACUGGAUGAACUCCUAGGGGUCCUCCACUCAGACCCAACACCAAUCGCUCUGCCACUCCUUUUCGAUUUUCUUCCCCGACCGGACGAUGAAUUCGGACUUCAUCUGGUCGCGGGCGCGGAAUACCACCCCCGACGACAUUGCCUUCGCGUUAUCAAUGCGGGGGUAGAAGUAGUGGCGGAAGAGCCCCACCGAUGGCAUCACCCCCACGAACACCUCGCAGAGGAACUGGAAGGUGGCGAGGAGGAAUAGCGACGUGGGGUGGAGCUGCGCCACCCGCAGAUGGUAAGACUCCAUCAGUGCGUGGAGGAAUAGUGAGAAGGGCGGCACCAGGCCGCAGAGGAGGAAGCGCGCGAACACCCGGAAGUCGUUGUCCUAGUCGCUCGACGCCCGCCGGGAAGAUCAGCGUCUCCCCGUGCUCGUUGAAGUUGGAGGCGAUGGCGUGCCAGAGUUUCCCCAGCGCCUCGUUGUUGUAGCCGGGGCGGAAGAAAGCGACCGCGGCCCGCAUCUCCCGCCUCUUUUGGUCCUUGGCGGCGGCCGCCUUGGUUGCCGCUUCACUCUUGCUGCCCGCGGCUUUCUUUGAAACCUGGACCUCCUUCUCCUUUCUGGUGGUGGGGGCGCCAUGGAAAGCAUGGAGUGGCCUUAACUUCCCGUCAUUAGGAGUGAUGCGUGGAGUGGCCUUAACUUUCCGUCUGUAACAGCGCCAUACACGGGGCAGCGAAGGGACGCGGGCCCGCGGCAGACCGGGGCCCACACGUCGGUUAAGGGCGUAACCCGGCAACCGACCUGGGGGAGACUCAUCCGGGAGCAGGUGAUGCCGGCCCACGCCCGGGGGCUACUGUCGCACCAGUGGCACCCGGGGUACCACCGCUGCGUGACGCGUGGGCCCCGUCCCUGGGUUCCCGGGGAAGUUCCAUCCCGGGCAGCGGCUACGAGCAGCCCGGCAAGCUACCAGCCCGGAAGGGCUAGCGGGGCUUCGGGGAAUAUUCCCGCGUGGGCACUUCCCGGGAAGCCGCUUCCCAGGGGGAGGUUCCCGGGUGCGUUGGGCCGAGGCGCUUCCCAGGGAGCGACUUGCCGGGACAGGGAGUUCCCGGACGCAUGCCCCCGCCUCAAGCGUGGGGCCCAGUAGGCAGAUCAACAGCGCCACGCGGGCGCGUGGCGCGCGUGGGGUGCGCGGCCCCACCGGGGCAAGGAGUAAGGCGCACGGCUCAUUAAAUGAGCCGACCGACGGGGCGUUACCCGUCCGAUCAAGUGAACAGUGGCAGUCCAAUCUUACACUAGGGUUUUAGACCCCUAGCGGCCGAGGUGGCGUCCAUGCGCGCCACCAGCUCACCGGGGGGGAGUUGUAUGCCUCCCCGCUCGACACUUGUAGCCCAUGCACCGUGGCACCUGUGGCAUCCCCUUGAGUAUAAAAGGAGGACCCCCGCCAACGGUCAAGGGCUUCGUUGGGUUGGAAUCUCAGUUGGUUCCAGUAGACGGUAGGGUUCGGUUGAGUUCGAUCAACCGACAGUUAGCCUCUAGCAUUAGCAGAGAUAGUAAGGAGUACCUAGCCAAAGGGAGAGGGUGUCCAGGAACUUACCCGGCAACCUAUAAACACUUGAUUCAAAACCAAUACCAGCUCAGACAAGCAAGACGUAGGGUUUUACACCUCCGGGUGGCCCGAACCUCGGUAAAAACGUGCGUGUAUCUGUUCUUUGAUUAGCGCGCACUUUUAAUACUUCAUUUCGCCGGGGUGAACCCCGACGCCCCUACCGAACCUAAAAGGGGGCCGUGACCGCACGCCCCCGGAUUCGGAGCACCGUGCGACGACAUCUGGCGCGCCAGGUAGGGGGCGCGGGAAAAGAGCCUGCCGGUGGUCGCCGGCAGCAUCGUUUGCAUCGACAUCGGCCUCGCCUUCUUCGCCGACGAGAAUAGUCACCAUGCCCCCCAAGCGGGCUGGUGAUCCUCGUAUAGACCCGCGUGAAGCCCCAGCGGCGCACACGCGGUCGCAUGACAUGCGACUCGAGUCGGGGGCUCAGGAGAACCCCGAGCCCUCGAGGGUGCAGCAGACACAGCUGCCUCCCCCGCCUCCUCGGCCGUCUGCCGACAAUCGGCCGAGGGGACCGGCUGCCCCCAAUGCCGGGGCCAGUCACGCGAGCACGCACGGUGCCGCCCGCGCCGGGCAGCGAGUUGAGUCGCGGGCCGAGGAUGCUCCGCGACGGCGACACCAGGAGCCGGCAGAAGGGCAAGAGAUACUCCGAGAUAUUCAUCAGGGAGAGUGCGGUCACCAUGCGUCUUCAAGAACAUUGGUGGGCAAGGCAUUCCGGCACGGUUUCUACUGGCCGAGUGUGCUACAGGAAGCAGAAGACAUGGUCCGGAAAUGCAACGGUUGCCAGAGAUAUGCCAGGAAGAUUCACAUGCCGGCAUCUGAGCUCAAAACUAUUCCAAUCACUUGGCCAUUUGCUGUUUGGUGUUUGGAUAUGGUGGGACCUUUCAAGCGGGCGCGAGGAGGCAUGACACAUAUUUUGGUCCUGGUUGACAAGUUCAGCAAAUGGAUCGAAGUGAAGCCGAUACGAAAGUGUGACGGCAAGACCGCGGUAUCAUUCUCGAAGGACAUCAUCUUGAGGUAUGGUUACCCCCACAGUGUCAUUACGGAUAACGGAACAAACUUCGCGAAAGGACCUUUUGCGCGAUUUUGCGCGGAAAAGAAAAUCCGGCUAGACGUCGCCUACGUGGCACAUCCUCAGUCCAACGGACAGGUUGAAAGAGCAAACGGCAUGGUUCUAGCCGACAUAAAACCUCGGUUGAUUGAGCCACUGGAAUGCACUCCAGGAUGCUGAUUAGAUGAACUCCCAGCUGUGCUAUGGAGUCUCAGGACAACUCCAAAUCGCUCUACAGGCUACACGCCAUUUUUCCUCGUGUACGGGGCGGAAGUUGUCUUACCAGCCGACAUUGAACAUGACUCUCCGCGAGUGACCAUAUAUACGAAGGCCGAGGUAAAAGAGGCCCGAGAAAAUGAUGUCGACCUGCUCGAAGAAGCACGGGAUUUGGCUCUAUCUCGGUCAGCCAUCUAUCAAUAACACCUAAGGCGUUAUCACAGCCGGAGGGUAAACCCGCGAGAAUUCCGGGAAGGAGACCUCGUGCUCCGACUUGUGUAGCGCACAGCCGACAUGCAUAAACUGUCACCUCCAUGGGAAGGACCCUUCAUUGUGAGCAAAGCGCUACACAACGAUUCCUACUAUCUUAUAGAUGCGCAGGAUCCCAAAGCAAACAUGAUGGACAGGUCAAGCGAGAAGACCAAGAGGCCAUGGAACGUAGCUUUGCUUCGUCCGUUCUAUACUUGAAAGAUGAGUAUUUGUAUCGUUUUUCCCUUAUGUUGAAUGUUUUGAGACAAUGAAAUUAUCCGUCGGGUUCUUAAAAGGGACUCAGGGACUCCCAUGUUGUUAAAGUAUUGAAUUGCGAUUAUCUAUUUGUAUGUCGGCAUGGCUUGGUUGUGUAAUCUUAUGUCGAUUUAGUAGUGUGUCAGUAUUGAAAAUCCCCUCUAUGACUAAGCUGUUGUCCGCAACCCGGCUUCAUGGCAAGCUAGAGAUUGGGUACGAGAUAACUGGACACAUGAAAAACGAUUGCGGAAACAAGCAAAAAAGCGAGCCGAGAUGCGCGUUGUUUUACUUAACCCGGCAUUUCAUUCUUGUCUCGAGUAUUGCCAAGCGAAUUUGUCGAGUUUAACUUUUUGAAAGGGUUGUUCUAUGACUUCGCGAUUCAUACGUCGAACACCGACAAGGCAGACAAAGAGCUGGAGUCAUAAAAUUUCACCAACAGAAAAGAUAAACUCAGGGACUCGGUCGGGAACUCGAUAAUUAAAAGACUUAAAUAAAUUAAAAGUAUGGUUCUUCACAAACAAAAUUGUUUUAACCCGGUUACAUGUGCACCCGGCAUCCCGGGGAUCUGAUAAUCUUAAAAUAUUUAUUCCGACAUGCUAAAAUGAAACAGAAGGAUUGGCGGCGCCGGAACUCGGAGCGUCCGUUGUAGUAGAAGCCGACUCGACGACAAUCUCUUCGUCGACUUCUUCUUCGUCUUCCUCGGCCAUUUUUGCAUCUGCUUCUGACACCGGGCCCUCCACAAAUUUAUGCACAUCGGCAUAUUGGAUAAAGGAGUAGGCCCGCUCCUGCCGUUUCGCAAUGAGUUCCGAAUCUGAGAGGAAUGGGGAGCCGACUCGCAUCGAUUGCAGCACGUCGAGGUUGAUGCCGUCGUACCAAGAGAGUACAAACGACAAAGCCUCGUCGGCGCCGACAUGAGCGGCCGAUUCCCGCCACUCGUUCAGCCGGUCCUCCACCUCCAGAAGGCGCUUCGCCAAUUCCGGGAUGCCGGUCGGAGCUUCUUGAAGCGACCCCCCCCCUUACAGGGUUCGAUCUCUGUGCUUAUUUGUGCUAGUCCCUGGAUCGACUCACUAGCACACACAGUUUCGGGAUGUAAUACCAAGAUACAAAGGUCAAAAGUACUUUAUUACAUCGUAUCAUCCAGAAUUAAUUGUACUUACAAACUUGCAUGACCCCUUAGGCCAGCAUAAACAAAAUACGGUUUCAACAUUAUUAAACAUUGUUUUCAAAAACUGCAGCGGAAAAAGGGUAGAACAAAUGGGCCUUAACUACUCCCAGAGGAGAGAGCAUGUUGGAAUGUAAGCACAUGACCCAAAGAACAUCGACGAACCUCACUCUUCGUCAGAUUCACCUGCAUUAUUAAUUGCAGCCACUACGUGGUCAAUACAUUGAAUGUAUUGGCAAGUUCACCUGGAAGUUAUAACAGAUCCUACCAAGUAUAUGCAAUUGAGGUAUAGUGGGGUUCAGGCUUUAUGGCAUGGUAGCAAAACAUAGUUUAUCCUACUACAAUUGAAUGUUACAAUAUUGUUAACUAGUGGACACCGGGUAGAAACACCGAUGCUCCUAUUAAUCUAAGGACAGCGAGUAGACACAUAGAUGCUCCUAAACCCAAGUUCAAACAUUCAUUUUAUUUAGAAAUUGGAAUGAGUGAGACCUUCCUUACAGCCCCAAUAUCUAGUUGCUCAUAAUUGUCCAUAACCGGGGACAUGGCUAAGUACUUAGUUUGACACUCUCGAGAGGUUGUACACAUUCCCCACAGAAAUCGACGUCUUAAUCCCUUGUUGUCCUCAGGGUAGAGUAGCAACGGCAUCGAUUACAGGAAUUUUCAGACCAUAAUCACCCAGACCACCUGAGGGACCUACGUUCCCACCUACACGGCUACAUCUGCACAAUCCUUCGGAUCCAGGAUCAUAUGUCUUAUAUUCAUCUUGGCAGAGCCCAUAUUACCAUGUGGUUGUACUGGAAGCUACUAAACAGGAAACUAGUCCAGUCUUUGGUUACCCCGAGUGGCAUUCCUCAUUUGCGACGUAGGCGCUCCCAUAGAAAUGGCGAGACGACUCACAGAAAUGGACCCAUAGAAAUGGACCUGACGUCGCAUACAUCUCCAAUUCCUCAAAGCAGCCCACCCAGGACGGUUCAUUAAAGUUGUUUUUGUCAGGUUUCCAAAAUACUUCAUAAUAACAGUUUCAUGGUAAUUGAGAUUCCCUCCCACGUAUACUAACAUAGCAUAGCAUCCAACUACUUACGAUGGCAAUUGGUGGAAGGGUAAUGGCAAAGGUAAUCCUAUCACUAAUAGGUCAAGUCAUAGCUAGCAUAAGUACGAGUAAUAGUCCUAUCGAUGCAUUUCUACAAACAACUCUAAUGCAUAAGUAUUUUAAAAACAAACAGUAAUACGAUAUGAUUAAAGUGAACUUGCCUUGGUAGCAGUUGGAGUUCAAACACUCGUCACAAUCACAAGGUUCGCUCUGCGAGAAAACUAUACGAAACAAACAAUAUACACACACAAUUCAAAUCACGACAAAAGAAUGUAUGCUAUGAUGCAAUAUAAACAUGUGACAUGAUUGGGUUUAUUUUAUUUGGGUGAUCAACUGAUCCUAAGCAUAAGUAAUUAAAACAAAUGUAUUAGGGUUUUAAACAAAAAGGCAAAAACAAUUGAUUAAAACCCUAAAUUAUAGUUUUAUUGGCAUCAGCCAAAUAAUUUAAUUCAAAAUAUUUAUGUCUCUAUCCCAAUGGAUAGAGGAUAAUAAAACAAAUUUUUGGGCACUGGUUUCAAUUAAAAAGGAUUUAUAAAUAAUUAGUUGUGAAUUAAAUGACAUUAAACCCUAUUCUGUAAAUUGACUGUGAUUAAAAUAUUCAGAUUUAAAUUUAAACAGUGCCAAAAGAUUCUACAGGUUGAGAGCUUUCCAAAAAGGUAAACUUUGUCAAAUUGGCCAAAGGGUUUAAAAGUUACAAGCAUUUGAAGUUAGAGGGGCUUUUCUGCAAAAGUGCCAUUUAAUUAAACCGGGGGAUUAAAAUUACAUUUUUAUUUUUCUAUUAAAGUGCCACGUGUCAGCUUCUAAUUGGACGGUACCGGUUUGAUUAAAAGAAUUAACUGGAUCUAAUCUCGGCCGUUGAUCAAGAUCCAACGGACGAGAUUGACAUGAGGGUUUACCGGCGGCGCUACGGUUCCGGCGACGACGCGAGCUCGGGCGGCGGUGGCGCGGGCUGUUUUGGCGGAGCUAGCGGCUCGGGGAAGCGCGGGGAAGGCGCGGCGCGUCGAGGCGGAGCGGACGGCGGCGUCGGCAGGGCUCGGGCGCGACGGAGUCGGCAGCUAGGACAACGGAGGCGCUGCGGGCGGCGGCGGAGCUCCGGCGAGCAACGGGCGACGGCUGCGGUGGACAAAAAAGGAAACGGCGCACGUCACAAGAACCUCAAGAAAGAGAGGAAAGAGAGGGGUGAGGUUUGGUUGUCCAUGGUGUACCGUGCAGUCGGCGACGAGCUCGGAACGGCGGCAGGCGGCGGCGAGCUACGGCGAGAAAUCGCGGCGGCGUGGGCGCGUGCGAGUGAGGGCAAAUAGAGGGAAAGAAGAGAGGGGGCUCCGGGCUUUAAAGGGACGCGCUCGGGCGAUUUCGGGAAGGCCGAAAUCAACGGGAACGGCGAUGGCGGCGGCGACGGCGCGCGCGGGUUGGCCGGCAUGACGCGCGAGGGUUUCCCUGCGGGGAAGACGACCCCGACAGGCGGGGCCCACCUGUCGGUGGCUCACGCGGGUGCGCGCGCGCUGGGCUGGUUCGGUCCAGAUCGGGCGCGGGCGAAGCUGGGCCGGUUCGGCCCAUUUGGCCGGGCCGGUCCGGUUUUCCCUUUUUUUUUCUCUUUUUCCUUUUUCUCAUUUCUUUCAUAUCUUUUGAUUUUGAACUCCAAAUUGGUCCAAAUAAAUUCCAGAAAAUUUGUAAAAUCAUGUUCUAUCAUGAUUCAACAUUUGAGAGUAAUUUCCCCUCAAAAUAAAAUAUAUAAAAAUACAUUUGCCCUAUAAAUGCCUUUAGGGCUAUAUAACUAUUUAAAUAACAUAUUUUUUCAACUCCAAAUAAUUAUCCAAAAAUUAUGGGAUAGCUUAUGUAUGAAAUAAACCCCUUUUAUAGAUAAACCCUAUUGGUUUGAGGAUCCAAAGCUCAAAUGGGUGAAAACCCUAGGGUUUAAAUUGAAAUAAAAUCUUUUAAAGCCUUUUGAGAUUCAAAAUUGAAUUCAAAUAUGCAAUUGUGGCAUGAUGCUCAUGGAUGCAAUGCACAUGUAAGAAUUUGAAAUUUUGGGAUGUUACACUUAUUCUCCCGGCCACAACGCUCGGAAGGCCCGGAUGCCAGCAUUGAGCAUGUUUACCCCGAACGACUUUAGAGGCUUAACCCGGCUCGCAAUGCUGACCAAGUAAUCCUCCAAGUCAUAUUCGAAGGGUACUGCCCCGGCUGGAUCCCUCCUUUUACGGGCCUUGAUCACGGCAGCUUGGGCAGUCUCAACAGAUUGUGGGAAAAUUUCUGACAAAGGCAAAAAUAUAGUAAUGAGUCUCGGCACCCUAUUGCUGUUUUCGGACAAAUGAUCAGAGGAAGAGAUUUGGACAAGGACAACUUACUAGUCAGCAUUGCGUCGAUUUUGAUGAGGUCACGCCGGCACACGCUGAGCAGGCGGGCGUUCUCGGCCUUCUCCUUCUCGGCAGAAGUGGCGCGGGUCUCGACCUCGGCGACAAGAUCCUUGCAUUUCUGCACUUCGCCUUCAAGGAGGAUCUUCUCGUCGGCUUGGUUAGACAGAGCCGAGGUAAGUUGACCUACCUCGGUCUUAUGCGCCUUCAGCCGGGCCAGUUUGUCCCGGUGCUGCUCUUUUAGCUGAGUCUUCUCAUCGGUUUAGCAGACGUGUGUUACAGAAGCUUGACUUUAAAAUGGAUGAAACCCGGGAUAAGUACAAGCUUGUACCUUGUACUUCAACGACGCGCUUCAAGAGCUCCGACACUUGAGCAUUGUCCCCGACUGCGAACGAGAGCACAUAUUAGUUUUCGCAGUGGAUUAAUAUUCGGGCAAAGUUUUUAUGUCAGUAAAAAUGUACUUACUCUGGCUCUGACGCUCGGCCACCAAAGCCUUGUGCUCUGCCGCCAGCUUCUUGUGCUUCGCCAACAGGACCUUAAAGGUGGCAGUGCGCUUGUUCAUGCAGGUCUGCAAGACAAUAAUCAACAAUUAAUUCUAUUGCAGUGGGAAGUCAACAGUUAUUAGCUUCAGGCCGACUAUGCUAAAAACAUGGCCUGAAUCUCGGGGAAUAAGUGUUUGAAGUUUUUAAGCUUCAGGCCAACUAUUCUAAACCCGGCCUAAAUCUCGGGGAAUAAGUGUUUGAAGUUUUUAAGCUUCAGGCCGACUAUUAUAAACCCGGCCUGAAUCUCGGGGAAUAAGUGUUUAAAGUUUUAAAGCUUCAGGCCGACUAUUCUAAACCCGGCCUGAAUCUCGGGGAAUGGUGUUUGAAGUUUUUAAGUGCUGCAGAGUGUUUGAAGUUUUCUAAAAUAAGCUUCAGGCCGACUAAUUCUUGCUCGCCCUCAACCUCGGGGACUAGGAGUAUGGACACUAAAAAUAAAGUAAAAACUUCAAAGAAUUUGUCGUACCUCAGCAGCUCGGCUGGACUCAAACAAGGCAACCCUUGCCUGGAACAUCUGGGCCGACACAGACUCCGGAGUCGCCACAGGUGCGGGCCCCACUAGAGGGCUCUGCCGCUGUCUAGAGGGUGCUGGAGGUCACCUCGUAACUGCCAGCGUUGUUCCAGUCCAUUACGAACUGGCCCAGCGACCCCUAGCUUUGCCCGCUGGUCGUCCUGAGGGGAACUCCCUUGUUGCCCCAGGCAGACUGUGAGCUGGGGAACUCGGAGGCGCUUGUCCUGCGGGGAUAGCGGAGCUCCUAGUUCUCCUAGCUUGCACAGCCGCUAGUUGGGUAGCUUGCGGCUGCGGUGGCAAUGACGGCGGUGUUGUUGUAGUCUGCGGUUCUUGGCACUCUGUGGCCGGCUGCUAAGGAGUCUCGGUUGCCGCCGAUGAAGGAGCAGUCCCGGCUGCAGACAUCCCGGCUUGUGCGACGCUCGAAGCGUCGAUGCUCGGGCCGACAUCCCGGACGGGGGAUGUCGGAUCCGCAGCAGUCUCGGUCUCUCUCGUGGCCUGAGUUGCAGGUUCGGCAUGGGGAGAUGGAGCUGCCGGGAUCCCAGACGCGAUGCACGUCUGAGACUGAGUGGCUGUCAGAGCCUCUGCAGGAAUGAGAGUUGGUUAUUUUAAUGAUAGUUAAGAAGAAAACCGACACCAAGGAUUGAGAUGUUGAAAGCCUUACCCAACGGUCAUGGGCUUCGGCUUUGGUCCACGAGAGGCGACUUUCUUCCGUUUCAUAGUUCUUGGAAGAUCCCUCUCGGCAGUGCGUUUUUCACAGGCCGGCGCCGCAGCGGCAGCUGGACCCGACGCCUCAACAGCGGUGGGAUCAUCCGAGUCGGCUGUUUCAGGAUUAAUGAAGGCGUAAGCAUUUUAAUGAUAAGUGUGAUAAUAACUAUGAGACGAUGCCGGGAGUUAUUACCUUCGGUGCGAUGGGGGCCGGCAUGAGCGAUCGGCAUGUGAUCCUCCGAGUCCGGAUCUUCAUGAUCGAUGAUCACGCGUUGGCUCCCAAAGCACUUGUCUGGGGAUUUCCCGUCUUCAUUGUGCUGAAGGGUGAACCUUUGCACAUAGAAAUCAAGUAGUGCCGAGAUAACUCUUUGUCAGAUGAAAGCCAGCAUAACCAUAUGUCGGAUAAGAACAGAAGACAUAUAUAAAUAAAAACUCACCGGGGGCAGACGGUGCUUCCGACUGUACGCCGGCAUACACAAUUCCCAGUGCUCGGGCAAACUCGUCUUCGCGAUUGCCUUAACCCGGCGCCGGACUUCAGCCUUGUCGAGCCGAACGGUUGACACCCGGUUUGGGUCAAACUUCCCGCCGUAAAAACACAUCUUGUGUGUCCGGCUUUGGAGCGGGCACAACCACCGGUACACGAAGGUUGCCAGCAAAUCAUCAGCCAUCAUCCCUUCGGCCUUGAGUUCGAGGAUGCCGGCGUGGAUCUCGUUGAUCUCGGGAAGGGUGUCCUUCGGAUCAUACUUCCAGUUCUUCUUCUCCUCGGGAGGGCCGACUACGAAUCUCGGCAAGCUGACCUUGUUGAUGUCGGAGGAGUUCUUGACAUAGAAGAAAUUCUUGAGCCAUUUCUUGCAGGACUCAAGACCCUAGAUCCGAGGGAAGGCCGAGCCUCGCGGGGUAUGACGGUGGCGGCGCCGCGCUGGGUCAGCGGCUUAGUGGCGUCGGGAUUAUCUUUAUCGGGAAGAACUUGGGGCCGAAACGUGAAAUAUUUGGCCCACAAGUCGAUGGAAGGCCAGAGGCCGAGAUAGGCCUCACAGCAAGUGAAAAACGCCGAGUGUAAGAAUGGCGUUUGCCGGAAGGUGGUGCGACAGAAGGCCGAAGAAGUCUAAAAAUUUCCUAGUGAAAUCACUAGCCGGCAGAGCAAAGCCGCGUUCGAAAUGAGCGAGGAAGACGACAUGCUCACCGGGUUCAGGUGUCGGCACGGUUUCAUCGCCGGGAAUCCGGCACUCCACCUCCUCCGGGAUCCGCCUGGAGCGGCAGAGCCACUCGAUGUCCGCCGGGGAGACAUCGGAGCCUUCCCAACCAGCUCGCUCCGAGCCCGUCUCCUCCUCGGUGUGCUGAGCAGCGGGGGCAGCGGCGGCGGCGGCACGGGAAGAAGAAGCCAUUGUUGGAAACUGGAUCUAGGUUUAGUUUCUCUGGUGAAAGGACGGUGGCGCAAGGCCCGAGUGAGCAAGGAAGCGGCGGCGGAAAGCUAAUCGAGCGCGGGCGAGGAUGCGGUGGCGAGCUCGGUCGAUGAGACCUAGGAAGCACGGCGGCGGAAGAGCUCGGACCUAGCAGCAAUGACGGAGCAAGCGAGGAGCAGAGAAGAGCAGGAGAGAGUGAGAGUGUUGCGGGAGUGCGAAGGGUUUUCACCCUCGCCCGCUCCCUCUAUUUAUACCCGCAGCGCAACUAGUGGGCGCGGAUCUUCCGCGCCCAUGACCCCUGUGGCCAACGGAAGGGUCGCGCAUGAUCAUGGGGGCAAUCAACCCCAUUAACGCGCACGCGCUCGGUUACUGCGCGGUGUGGCGUAGUUAGUCCCGUCGAAUCCGGGAGGAUAAGGAUCUGCGUGGGAACCGAUAUUCCUCUCUUAAUGGCCUGUCGGUUUUACUGUCCGAUGGGAUGACGCGCUCGCCUCAAAAGACGCGCCGGCAGUACUUCGGGUCUUAUCUUCCCGUUAUUUAAGCGGAGUGCGGAGUACAAGCAACAGGUGGCACUAAUGUCGGCAGAAACGAGUUUUCUACUGUUGGCCAUGAAGGAGAAAAGAAUCUCGGCUCGACGCUAAAUAAGCACGCCAACUCGGUAUGUCGGAAUAACUUGAUCUCGGCUAAGAAGAACUCGGGGCUGUCUCGGCAUCCUUUUCGGCUAAGCCCUGGUGAGCUUCGGUGGUUUGUGUGUGGGAAGCUGUCGUGGCCCGACAUUCUUCCCUGCCGGACCGCAACAGCUUCGGGGACUAGUGUCGGGGGGAUGACCUCGGGUAGGGUCAUGACGACACACUUUAGCCGAGAUGACGAAGGCAAAACCGGCACGGGCAUGUGCGCCGGCAUCCUUAAGCCAAGCUAAUACUAAGCCGACAUACCAAGUGUAUGCCGGCAUGACUAUCUUGUCUUAUGUGAUUGCAGGAUAAGGACGAGUACUUUGAUCUCGGCCACCGCCGAGAUGGCUCAACAGUCUUAUCCUUAUCUCAUGGUGCAAAGUAAAGCAGCGUUCUCUUUAUCACAGGAAAGCAGUCGUUGCUUACGUUGCGGUGCCAGGCGACUGCGCAGAGAAGCACCGAAAGAGAAUCAGUGACGGAAGCCGGGCAAGAGGCUGCUGUACUUAUUGCAGGACGCCAGGAAAAGUAAAGUUGUCUUAUCUCCUGCGGUGCCACCCGGAGGGAACCAAGGCGCGUGCCCGGCGUGGCCCAUAGAAGAUAACGUUAGCCCUUGACCCACAUGUCAGUGUGACAUGGGCGGUCCAUAAAUAGAGCACUACCCCUUCCUGGAGAGGGAUCCCACACUUAGACAUCUAGGGUUUCCCCUUCUUCUUCUUCUUCCUCAAGAAAACUGCUCAAGGAUCACCAUUGUAGAUCUGGUUAUCUCGGUUUAUACAACAAAGCAGGAGUAGGAGUCUUACCUCUACAAGAGGGCUCCGAACCUGGGUAAAUCUGUGAGUGCUUGUGUGUGUGUGUGUGCGUGUUUCUCUUCACGUCCUCUCUCCUCCGGUUCCUCCUUCGGCCCCAACAUAAGACAUCCUAUGGCAUCUGCCGUGACACCACCAUGACAUUAUACUCAAUUUCGAGACCCGCAAUCAUAUAUUCAACUAGCUCCGCUUCUGAAAUCGUGCGACCGGCGGCCACAAGCUCGGAGCCUAGUGAUUUCAUCUUGGAGAUGUACUGCGAUGCAGUCAUGUUACCCUUCUUGGUGUUGGCGAGGGCAUGGCGCAGAUUCGUGAUCCGCGAUCUGGAUUGAGAUGAGAACAUCUUCUCAAUCGUGCCCCACACUUCAGCGGCAUGCUCCAUGCUGAUGACUUGCGUGAGGAUCUCCUUGGAGAGUGAGUUCAGCAGAUCUCCUUUGAGAGUGAGUUCAGCAGGUAGCCAAGAACCUGCUGAUCCUUGGUAAGCCAGGAGGCAUACUCUGGAUUGGCGACUUCUAUGGUCGUCUGGUCAUCCUUGGUGACCUUGAUCUUCUUGGCCGGCUCGGCUUCAGUCGUCGAGCAGUCCAAUCAUGUGCGCGCCACGCACUGCUAGGAGCACCUGCGCUUUCCACAGGAGAUGGUUCUCCUUGGUAAGCUUCUCCGACGGCGGCGCACCGAGGGACGCCGGGCUGUUGGAGGAGGAAGCCAUGGAUGGCAGGUUGGUGAUGGGAAGCUAGAUUAGAUUGGAUGGAAGAGAAGCUCUGAUACCAUGUAAAGUUUGGUGAAGCGUUCCAACCCCCUAUGGAGGCCGCGGUGUUGUAUUUAUAUCUCAACGUUGUUACACGGGAGAAGUGAUAAGGAGGAGCUUGCAUCAUGCCAUAUCCGAGAUUACAAUGUUGUUACAGCAACUAUAUCUAACAAGGAGAACAUCUACAAAGUCUCGUCCUUGAAGUGGGGCGAGCGGUGGAGCUCCUUGGGCAAGAACUUGAGCGGUGGAUCUCAGGUCGUCCUCCUUCACCGCCUGCUGGCCCUUGGGCGUCUUGCUCCUCACCUCGGCCUGGAGCUUGGCCAUGAGACGUGGCUUUCGCAUCAGCUCCGCCAUGGCGAACUCCAUGACGACGUAUGACGGGUGUGUGCCCGCUGCAAACAUGUCCUGUGUAACGACACACAUGCAGACGGAAACGUAGUUAAUUGGCAAAUAAUGUUAAGCAUCAGGGAAUUAAUGUAAACUAAUUGGGUAAGUGAAAGUGAAUAGAUUACGAUCAAGAUGGCCUUGAUGUUGUCUCUGGUGAGAUUGUACUCGUGCUGGAGAGAGAGGAGAACAUCUACAAAGUCUCUCUCCUGAUCUUCCUGCUCGUCGUCAUGUCGGUCAUGCUGUUUCUGCGAUGAUGAAGAAGAUAACUUGGCUGCGUGGUCGUCUAUGAUCUUGUCUAGCAGCUCGUACCUCCUUUUCUUGAGCCCGAUUGUCUUAGCCAACAAGAGCCUCCGGCGCAGGCGCAACUUGGCCAGACCCGGGAAGAAGUCCUCAAUGCCGACCCGGCCAACACGGCCGCGUUCCCGGCGAUGAGCUCCCAGAAAAGCUCGUUCCCGCGCUCUUCGCGGAAGAACCUGCCGGACACGGCGCGGCACACGGCGUCGUUGGCGUAGGCGCCCAGAAGCUCGCUCAGGUCCACGGCCUGUCCGGCGCCGGCGCCGGCGCAGGCCGCGGCCUGGCGGACCUUGGCGAUCACCAGGGCCACCUCCUCGCCGCGGGCGCCGGCGAGGGCGCGCACCUUGCCGGCGCUCAGCAGGUGCGUGGCGACCAGCCUCCUGGCCUGCCGCCAGUACUCCGUAGAGCGCGAACGCGACGUCGGAGGCGCCGCUGAAGAGUACGUCGGCGACAGCUGAAAGCGGGCGCGAGGCGUGGUCGUGCGCGCGCAGGAAGGCCUCGGCCCCGCGCGGGGAGGAGACCACGAGGGUGCGCGCCUGGCCCAGGUCCAGGAGAAGGAGCCCGUCGGGCCCCGCGUGCUUCCGGGAGAGCUCGGUGAGGGAGACGUGCGGGGAUUCGGGGCUGACAAGGUGCAGGUGGCCUAUGAUGGGGAACCUUCCUGGAGGCGAAGGAGGGAGCCGGCGGCCUUUGUCGGGCUGCUUGUUGUAGUAUCGCAGUAGGAGGAGGAAAAUGAAGCAGAGGAACAGAGUGAGCAGUGCUUGUGGAGAGAAGAUGAUGUGUAGUAGCUGCUGCUGAGGCUGAGCCAUCACGACCUGCAUUGUCAAAUGUCAAUAUCUUGCAAUGUUAAUUUGCUCGGCGGGUUCAGUGCUCACUCAUUUAUAAACAUCAGAAAGAGUAUUUUCCAUGGGAACUGUUGUAACUGGUUAGAUUAUUUUCACGUCAGAAAUAGUAUUUUCCAUGGGAAUUUUCACCAGAUAACUCGUGGUCUUAGUUUUUAAGUGCUGAGUGCGGCUCAGAUCGCAUGGACGUACCAUGACCUGACACAGGAAUAUCUAGCAAUCAGUAUAUCUUGUAGCCUCACCCUGUAUCCAUCUGUUGGUAUCGGCCCCCGGCCUCACAUCUCACUAAUUAGGUUCCAUAUUAGUCAAAAUUGAUGUCAUAACCUUGUGGUCAUGAACGGCGAGCAACUCCUACACAUGCUAGUAAUCCCAACAUAUCAUUUGCAAGAAUAAAAGUACCAGCAUGAUAACAACAUGAUGGACAUAACGAUAGCAAUAAUCGAAACCAUUGAAGUAAACAUAACAUAAAUUAAAGAGGGAUCAGAGAUUCAACAAGCUGAUGCUUGCCUUGCUGUUCAAGCUCCUGGUACUGCUGCUUAUCACCUUCGGAAUAACCCUCGUUGCUGAAAUCUACCGAUAAGAGGCAAGAAACAACCGAAAACGGUAAUGAAAGAGAAAAAUCAAUAACCAGGAACCCAAACAUGAUGAAAUGGUAUGAAAUGCAUUCUGAAAUGUGAGGAAUUGAAAUACAAAACUAAUGCAACUGGAAUAAAUUCAUUUGGAGUCCUAGAAUGCAAGAUAUUAAUUUUUAAGUGUUGCAUGUGAAAUCUUAAUCACAUUUAGCCAUGGCAAUUAAUUCGAUUAUUUGCUGGACAGAUAUGAUAAUGAUAGUACUUUAAUAAAAUCACACACUCAAAAACCUACAUUUCCAUAAACAUUUCAUUCAAUUUGGAGUUACGAUGAUUUUCCUAUGAUUUUUACAAGUUUCGGUCGUUCUAAACUAAUUUCUGGAAUCUCCUGAUCGAACCGAAGACUCUCUGUACAGACUACAGAGGUGUACGCAGCCACAGAGGCCCCCUGGUGGGACCAGAGGUCAAGUCCGACUUGUCAAACUUGACCAGUCAACCCUGUCCCCUGGGCCCGCAUGUCAUUAUCUACAGCUUGUAUUUCUUUUACUUUUAUUCCUAACAUGGCCCACAUGUAAGAGAUCUGGAAAUUUCCAAUUUGAUUUCCGCGUGCUUCUCUGUGGAGUGUGGAUGGCCAUGAGAGCUGUGCAGCUGGGCUACGGCGGAGCCUCGCCGGAACGGCGAUUCCGGACGCCGGAGCCAUAGAAUCUAAGUGUAUUAGCACCGCGUCUGUUAGCUGAGCCUAUUGGUGCAGGCGGUGGACUCUAUGGGUGCGGGAGCAGGCGUGGCGCCGCUCGUCGGCGACGGCCCGGGCAGGCGGACGCAGCGGGGACACUACAGCACGGGAGGUAGGGAUAAAAGGGGGUUAGGGGAUUCGGGUGCUCACGAUGAACGUGGGGACGCUGUCAGAUCGAACGGGGAUGGCCGGAAUCAACGGGAAAGCGUCUCGUCGGAGGAGAUGCCGGAGUUGGGCAAGACGAAGUCGGCGCCGUCGAUUUCCUGCGCCAAUAAUAACGCCGACCAGCGGCGUGAGCUAGGUAAACUGUUCGAACUUCGAACUGUAUGGACGAGGUAAGCGGGCUUAAGCUAACCGGGGAAGAAGAAAAGGGCCGCCGGAGCCGCGAUGGGCGCGGCCGCGAACGCUUGGACGUCGCCCGCGUUCCCGGCGAACUACUCGAAGAAACCUUCUCAGAUUUCGUAGGGGACUAAAGGCGUGUUGAGAGAAGCUCUUGGUAGUCUCGGAACAGACAAAGGUUGUAAGAAGAUGACAGGCUCGGGCAUAUAAAGAUGACACCUAUGGCAACGGCGUUGUAUGCGUGGCAACAGACAAAACGGAUUGCCAAAAGGACGAGGAAACGGAAAAGGGUGAGUCACCGGGGAUGCACGCAAGGUGCUCGACGCGUGCUGGGUGCUCUGCUAGGUGGAGAAGAAGGUCUGUCAGCUGGGCCCCUAUUUUCAGCGAAAUGGGAUUUCUUUGAUAUUUUGUUCCAGCUCAGCCACCGUCUGGUCUUUUGGGGAUCUAAGCUAUGUCAGAAAAUUGUAAAAACAUUCAGAGACGAUGUACAGACCAAUACUAACCACUUUCAAUUUUCUCAGAUCUAUUUAAAAUGUCUUUGAAUGUUUUUGAAAGUCGAAUUCGAAUAUGGUCCAAAUAUAGAUUUGAACCGUAGGUAGUUGAAAUACAACUCGUAAUUUGAUGAAAAUUUAUGUGUUGGUAAAUAUGGGUAUAUAAGACCCUGAUAUAAGUUUUCACAAGGUUUUGCUAAAAGUAGCUACUUAGCUUCACAACAUGAAUAAUUUUCAGUUGUCCAUUAAUUUGUGAAAAUAAAUGAAAAACACUUAUUAAACAUACCUAACAAGUUUAUAAAUUCACAAAACUUCCUAGGAAACUCAUGAAUACUAUCAGAGAUCCCUGGAAAUUGUAAAACUAGGUUUUCAAAAAUAUUUUUAGUGCAAAGUUGAAAGAAGUUCAGAUUCAACUUUUUUCUCAAGUUGCAGAAUUUGAGAUGUUGACUCCUGCAACUAAUACAAGAUAUGCAUUGCAUGAUAUGAUGGCCAUCAAGAUCUUAAACACAAACAAAUAUACUUUGGGUCAUUACAGUAGGUAUGGCGGCGGCGUUUCGGGGUGAGAAGGCGGCGCUAGGAGGGCACGGCGGCUCGUGUGUGGUGGUUGGACGAUAGGGAGGGUGUGGGCAGGGGAGCGGGCUGGGUGGUACUUGGCAGCAAGGCUGCAGGGGCAGUGGUUGGGUAGCUACCCAAUUUUUUUGUAGGCAUCAACUUUUUUGGGUAUAUUGCUAGAAACAUUUUUUAACCAAAAUAUACUCCCUCCGAUACAUAAUAAGUGUAUUGGAUUUAGUACAGCUGUGAAACUGUUUCUCCGUCGAUGAAUCAACAAGGAAAAAAACCAAAAACACAAAAAAAAUGUGUCGUGAGAACCACUGACUCUAUGUCAUAUGUUAUAGCGCCUACACCAGGACAAUGAAAGAGCCAGGAUAUACAAAUCUUUUAGACGACGACGUCUCCAUCGCCAAGACGCAACCGAGAAGCACAUACAAAUCUAACAAAAUAAGAUAGCAAAACUAGAUGUCAGACAUUGAUUCGUGGUUUUUCUCGUCUCUCAACGCAAGAUCGGUCAAGAUCAGGCUGCGAGAGACGAGGAAACCGCCGGAAAUCGAAGCUUCCUCGAAGACGGGAGCCAGGGUUUUCUCCGUGUUUCUCUGAUCUAAUCACGCAUCUCUCUGCCGAACUCUUGCAUGGACCUUAAAAAGGAAUUGGGCUGCAUUCAGAGUUAGAAGUUUGGGCCUGUAACUGCAGGGCAAACACACGGGGCCUUAUGCAGUUAUGCUGGCCCGUUUCGUGACGACGGUGCAGGAGAAGGAAAAUUCGUGCUCGUGUUGGCUAAUUCAGACGGACCAAGCUCACAUUUAGGACAAUAAGAGAUUAAUUUAGUAAUUAAGAGAGUAAUUAGUGCGUGAGUGAUUUAUGGACGCAAGGUUUCAAAUUAUUUUCUCAUCCAUCAGAUCAUUCUUUAGUUUUUUGAUGGUCAAUUGAUCAAAUCUUAACUCAUGUUGCACGCUCGCGCCGGCGCCUGGCUAGCCGGACGCUGCCCUGUUCUGGCUCUGGGCUACAUGCGACUGCCCGAGCUGCUGGCCUGCUAGCGUGCAUGCCGCCUCCUCGGAUCUAACGUGACAUCUAAUAAGUGGACCCACGUAUCAGAAACAUUGUUAAUGUUCUAAAUUGGUAGGUUUGGAUCAUAUGAGAAGCUCCGUUUCAAGAGUUAAUAGUUCUGUCAUAAAAUUGACGUCAACCGGUGGUUUUGUGCCAAUUGCACAAAAUUACGUGCUUUAUGAAAUUUACUAUAAAUUACAAAAUGUUCGAUUCAAGUACACUCGUACAUAUUAGCGUGCGAAGUUUUAUAGUGUUGAGUACUUGCAUCAUACUUCGUCCUAUAGAACGGAGUGAUUAAUUAUCUCUGUUGGCUAGACACGUGUUCUCUAGCAACGCCGGCGCAAGACGUUGGGCAAGAACUUAAGCUGACCUACCGCAAGCAUCAUGCUCGAGAUCCGGUGGUAUCGUUGGGACAAGAAGAAGCUUCUCCUUCCGACGCAUGGUCAGCCCAAACACGUCGGCCAUGUCUAUGUCCUCCUCACGGAUCCCACGGGGGAGCUCCCAAUUGAAGCAGUAGACAAGGUUGGCGAGCAUCGUCUCCACGGAGGCCAUCCCGAAACCCAACCCGGGGCAGAUCCUCCGCCCGGCUCCGAACGGCAGGAACUGGAAAUCCCUCCCCUUGUAGUCGACCUCGCUGCCACCGUCCAACAUGAACCUCUCCGGCUUGAACUCCUCUGCGUUCUCCCCCCAAGACUGUGCAUCUCUUCCCAGAACCCACGUGUUGACGACGACAUGUGUCCCCGCCGGGACAGCGUAUCCAUUGACGUCGUCGCAGCUGGAGAUGGCGACGCGCGGGAGGAGGAGCGGCACCGGCGGGUGCAGCCGGAGUGUCUCCUUCACGACAGCCUUCAGGUACGCCAUGCCGCUC